rnacentral:lncRNA from 1 species
UACUCCCAUCUGAUUAGACUCUGAACAUGAUUAGUUGAACUGUACGUGGACUGAGUUACUACAUUUCGUUGACUGAUGGAAUACUAUUGAUAUCUGAUAACUGACUGAGUUCAUAAGAACAUGGAGAUUUUCUGAGUCAUAAGACUGUCUGAAGUCUAAGGAUUCAUAGCUUGACUGAGAGUAUUGUGAAAACAUGACAUGGAUCUAGGCACACAACUAAUGUUUCGGGUACAAGUACCCCCAGGACUCAAUGGAAGGAAACUGACAAACAUGACUUACUUGAACACAUGACUAAUAGCAUAAUCCAUAAUUCAUUCACUGAAGCAUUUCAUCAAACAUGUGAUAGGCAUAAAUUUGUAGAUACAUGCGGAUUUCAUGAUAUCAUGCUAGUUGGGCAUUUUCCUUCAUAUAUCCAUUUAAUCAAACACAUUGUAGGCAUAGAAUAUGUAGAUAACAUUAUACAACAAUUAAACAUCAUGGUUCAAUUCUAAUUUCAUCAUUCAAGGGUUUAAUCAUAGGUUGUCAUGAAUCCAUAUAGAGUUUAUUACCUAAUCAUGGAAUAGGAUCCAAUUAUACAUUAUCAAAAUGAAAAAGCUGCCCAAUCAUGAAAUUCAUAAAAAAGAUCCAUAACUUGAAUUUAGAAAAGAGAUUCUUGAACUUCAUGGACGAAAGGGGUCUAUGAAUAAACACUAUGCAUACCUUAGUGAUUAAUUCUUGAAAAAGAAUUGACCUUUCUUGAAUGUUCUUGGAUUGGGAAUCUUAAUUCUUGAAUAUCUUGUGGAAAGUGUGAUGGGGUCUUGAAGUUAAUUGAGAAGAAAUCCUAAGUUUGUUCUUGGGAACAAAGAGGGAGCUUUUAAAACUAAAUACCAAUAGCUAAUUACAUAUUUUUGGUGUUUUAUGUCGUGGGGGGUGAGGUUUAGGGUGAGGGAAAAAGACCAAAAUACCCCUACAAAAUCACUUCUCAGUUACUGAAAUUAUCAGCUGACGAUCAAGACUGAUAAGCCGUCAGAUCUGUGAUAGCCCGUCAGCCCAUGUCAUCACCUGGGAGCUGGUCUAUCUAAGCUUGAAAACAUGGGCUGAUAAGCCGUCAGGUCUGUGAUGGCCCGUCAAACAUGUCAUCACUUGGGAGCUGAAAUCGGUGGGUUUCUGCCUAAGUUUGACGACAUGGAUGAUAAGUUAUCAGAUCUGUGACGGUCCGUCAGAUAUAUCAUCACCUGGGAGAUAAAUUGAUGGGUUUUGCCUAAGUCUGACGACGUGUCUGAUAAGUCAUCAGAUAUGUGACGGCCCAUCAGAUAUGUCAUCACUCAGUUGCCAGGCUGACAUGCUGGAGUAAAAUGAGUAUAACUUUUUGGUCCGAUAUCGGGUUUGGGCGAAAUUGGUAUCGAUAGAAAGCUCACUCGAUUUUCCACGUGAAAAAGUGAAAAUAUUAAAAAUACCACAUGUACAAAAGUGGAUUCAUAGUUCAAAUAAAUUUCUAUAAUUCUCGAGAUGAUUUCGAGCUAGGAAAAAAGGAAGGGUAUUACAAUAUCUCCCCCUUGAGAACAUUCGUCCUAGAAUAAGACUGAGAAUGGGGGGAAGGACAUAAACUGACAUACAUACUGAACAUGAGUAACUAAAAUAUGAUCUCAUAACUGACAUGACUGAUAACUGAACAUAUCAUACUGAACAUGCAUAUCUGAUGCAUGUGUAAUUGAUUCAUGAAUGCAUGACUGAAUGUUCUGAGGAACUAAGUUUCUCACAAUGAGAAUGCAUGGCUUAUGCAUAAUUAUAUAUAACUAAACUGAUACAUGAAUGCAUGACUGAAAUACAAUGGUACUUGAUACCAAGUUGUGACAAACACCGAACAUGAAACUGAGUAAGCUUAAGGAGAACUGUUACCUUGAGCUUGAUCCGACUAUCAUCUCCUUUAUGAUCCGACUAUCAUCUCCUUUAUGCAGUUGUGCGACCUAUGAAUAAGAUUGCACUAAAUACUUUAUAAUGAGUAAUAUAAUAUUAAAAUAUUAAAUUUGAUGGUUAUGUAUUACUUACCCUAUCUUUUAACCAUUUAACUAAUUGUCGAUUCCAUUCAGCAUCAGACAAGUGUCUAAUAGUAUCCUUUUAAGUUUGUGCAAUUUCUCUACAAAAUUAAAGUGAAUCAUAAAUCUCAUAUAGAAAGAAAAUUACCCUAAAGGAAAUAAUAAAAAUGAGACUACAUGUGUUCUUCCCAUACUUGAGAUACGGUAAGAAUUCAUCACAAUUAUUCAAUAUGUAUAUAUGUGCUUGUUCCGAUUCAUCGGUCGAAAUCUCACAUGGAUUUUUAGCUCCCAAAGUUUUUUCAGGUUGAUAAAAUAUAUAUAAACCUCCAUCAUAUUAUUUUACACCCCCAUCAUAAUUUCUUUCAGGCCGAUUGAAUUUUGUAUCAAUUUUAUGCAAGUACCCUGAAUACAAGGUCAUACACUCAUUUGCAAUAUAGCCCUCUGCAAUAGAACCUUCAGGGCAUGCCCUAUUACCAAUGAGAGAUUUCAAAAAAUACAACCAUCGUUCCACAAGAUACAUCCACCUAUAAUUAAUAGGCCCAGCAAUCUUAGCUUCUGUAGCUAAAUGAAUAGGCAAGUGCACCAUGACAUCAAAAAAUAAAGGAGGAAAGACCUUUUCUAACUUGCAAAGUGUUAUGGGAAUUUUCACUUUGAUAUGUUCCAAAUCAUCAGUUCUCAACUCCUUGGAUCCAAGCACACUAAAAAUAUAAGAUAAAUCAAUAAUUGAUUCACACACUUCUUUAGACAACAUACCACGAAGUGCAGGAGGGAGUAGAUGUUGUAGAAGAACAUGACAAUCAUGACUUUUCAACCCAGAUAUCUUGUAAUCUUUUAAGUUUACACACUGAGAAAUAUUAGAUGAAAAACCAUCAGGAAAUUUUAGAUUCUUUAAGAAAAAACAAAAAUUGUGCUUAUCUUCAGGAGGCAAUGUGUAGCAUGCAGUUGGAACUUCAACUUUCUCCCCUUUUUGGAUGAGGUGCAAUUCUGGCCUAAUAUUCAUCUCUUGCAAGUCUAAUCGAGUAUUUAUUGUAUCCUUGGUCUUUCCUUUGACAUUCAUAAAUGUCCCCAUAAAAGCCUCACUUUUUUUUUUCAAUAUGCAUAACAUCCAAAUUAUGUCACAAUAAGAGAUACUCCCAAUAUGAAAGUUUAAAAAGAUACUUUUCUUGUUCCAGUUAUCUUUUCAAACUUUAUGUGACAUAUUCUUCCUUUUUUUUUAGAUCUCUUGAUAAUUGUUGUCCUUCAAGAUCUUGUACUUGAUUAAGUAUCUCUAUACCAGAACAAUUUUUUGGGGGUGGCCUUUUAUUUACUGUACCAUCAAAGGACUGCUUCUCAUAUCUCCAUUUGUGACUAAGAGGAAGGUAACGCCGAUGACCCAUAAAACACUGCUUCUUAAUGUUCUUAAUACUCACAUAAACUGUUUUCUACUCACAUAAACUGUUUUAUAGGUUUAAUUGUGAAUGAUGCUUUUCAAAUAGCAGCGAUAGUUGAGAAGCUACCAGCUUUGUGGAAAGACUUCAAAAAUUACUUAAAUCAUAAAUGCAAGAAGAUGACUGUUGAAAAUCUUAUUGUCUGACUUCGUAUUGAAGAGGAUAAUAAAGCUGCCAAAAGAAGGUCAAAGGGGAAUUCUACAAUUAAUGGAGCACAUAUUGUAGAAGAUGACUAAAACAAUUCUAAGAAAAUGAAAAAAGCUGAACAAGGAAGCAAUCAACCCAAGAAAAAGUUCAAGGGAAAAUGAUUCAACUAUGGCAAGAUUGGCCACAAGUCCAUAGAUUGUCAUGCCCCAAAGAAAGGAAAGAAGAAGGAUCAAGAAAAUAUGAUUGAAUCCAACAAAGAAUGUGAUGAUCUGUGUGCUAUGUUCUCAGAAUGCAACUUGACGGGGAAUCCUCGCGAAUGGUGGAUUGAUUUUGGGGCCACCCUCCAUGUAUGUGCCAAGAAGGAUUUGUUUUCGUUAUUCGCUCUGGCUCAAGUAGAAGAAACAAUCUACAUGGCUAACUCCGCUACGGCUAAGGUAUAAGGAAUAGGAAAAAUUUGCUUAAAGAUAACUUCCGGAAAGGUCUUGACAAUAAACAAUGUCUUGUAUGUUCCGGAGUUAAGUUGGACUUUAAUUUGUGUUUCACCUCUAGAUAAGAAUGGAUUCAAAUGUAUAACCGUUUCUGGAAAAAUUAUAAUUAGCAAAGGAGAGAUGUAUGUAGGAAAAGGCUAGCUGACUGAAGGACUUUAAUGUAAUGACUGUUGAAAUAAAUAAAAGUUCGAAUUCUUCUUAUUUUCUUGAAUCUUAUGAUUUAUGGCAUGAACAUUUAGGUCAUGUUAAUUACAAAACGUUAUGAAAACUGAUUAACUUAGAAGUUUUUCCAAACUUUGAGUGCAAUAAAUCAAAGUGUCAAACGUGUGUGGAAUCGAAGUAUGCAAAGCAUCCUUAUAAGUCCGUUGAAAGGAAUUCCAAUCCCUUAGACUUAAUGCACACUGACAUUUGUGAUAUGAAGUCAACACCAUCACGUGGUGGGAAAAAGUACUUCAUAACUUUUAUUGACGAUUGCACUAGAUAUUGUUAUGUCUACUUGCUAAAUAGUACGGAUAAAGCAAUAGAUGGAUUUAGGCAAUAUAAAACUGAAGUUGAAAAUCAGUUAGACAAAAAGAUCAAAAUGAUAAGAAGUGAUAGGGGCGGAGAAUAUGAAUCUCCCUUUGCAUAAAUAUGUGUAGAGAAUGGAAUAAUCCAUCAAACUAUGACCCCAUAUUCACCUCAAUCUAAUAGAAUUGUGGAAAUAAAAAACCAAACUUUGAAGAAAAUGAUGAAUGCCUUACUUAUAAGUUCUAGUUUACCGCAAAACUUGUGGAGGGAGGCUAUCCUUACGGCCAACCAUAUACUCAAUAAAGUUUUCCAUAGUAAGACAAUCAAUUCCUUAUGAAAAGUGGAAAGGAAGAAAACCCAACUUAAAAUAUUUCAAAGUGUGGGGGUGUCUAGCAAAGGUCCAAGUUCCUGUGCCUAAAAGGGUUAAGAUAGGACCUAAGAUGGUGGACUGUGUGUUUAUUGGAUAUGCUAAAAGUAGUAAAGCAUGUCGGUUUUUGGUUCAUAAAUCUGAACAUCUGGAUAUAAAUGAAAAUACGAUAAUUGAAUCAGAUAAUGCUGAAUUCUUUGAAAACAUUUACCCAUAUAAAAUUAGACAUGAACAGUCUAGUAGAGGAUCUAAACGACCUCGUGAUGAACCAAUUGAGAAUGAACAUAAUGAAGAAAAUCCAAGACGUAGUACACGUCAAAGAACGUCUACUUCGUUUGGAUUGGAUUUUGUGACAUUUCUUUUGGAAAAUGAGCCUCAAACAUUUAAGGAAGCGAUGGCAUCUUCAGAUUUAUCCUUUUGGAAAGAGGCAAUCAAUAGUGAUAUAUAUUCAAUCUUAAGCAACCAUACAUGGGAAUUGGUUGACCUUCCUUCCAAAAAUAAACCUUUAAGUUCUGAAUGGAUCUUCAAAAGAAAGAUGAAAGCAGAUGGUACUAUUGACAAAUACAAGGCAAGACUUGUAGUAAAAGGCUUCAAACAAAAAGAAGGACUUGAUUACUUUGAUACAUACUCUCCAGUAACAAAGAUAACGUCACUUCGAAUGUUAAUUGCCUUGGCUGCGGUAUAUGGUCUUGAAAUCCAUCAAAUGGAUAUGAAAAUCGCUUUCCUAAAUGGAGAAUUGGAGGAAGAAAUUUACAUGGAACAACCUGAGGGUUUUAUGGUUCCAGGGAAGGAGAAUAAGGUGUGUAGACUUAUUAAUUCAUUGUAUGGACUAAAGCAAGCACCUAAACAAUGGCAUGCCAAGUUUGAACAAACCAUGUUGGCAAAUGGAUUCAAAAUAAAUGAAUGUGAUAAAUGCGUUUAUAUUAAAGACACUCCAAAUCACCAAGUCAUUGUAUGUUUAUAUGUGGAUGAUAUGUUGAUCAUCAGUAGAGACAUUUCUGACAUAAAUGUAACAAAACGAAUGCUCGAGAGCAAGUUUGAUAUGAAAGACCUUGGAGUUACAGAUGUGAUCUUAGGUAUAAGAAUCCAUCGAACUCUAUAAGGGUUGGCAUUGUCACAGUCUCAUUAUAUCGAAAAGGUACUUGACAAGUUCAAGUAUAUGAAAUUCGGUAUUGCCAAGACUCCAUCGGAUGCGAGCUUUGCUCUUCGAAAGAAUGAAGGUGAAAGUGACUCGCAAUUGGAGUACGCAAGAGUAUUGGGAUGUUUAAUNNNNNNNNNNNNNNNNNNNNNNNNNNNNNNNNNNNNNNNNNNNNNNNNNNNNNNNNNNNNNNNNNNNNNNNNNNNNNNNNNNNNNNNNNNNNNNNNNNNNNNNNNNNNNNNNNNNNNNNNNNNNNNNNNNNNNNNNNNNNNNNNNNNNNNNNNNNNNNNNNNNNNNNNNNNNNNNNNNNNNNNNNNNNNNNNNNNNNNNNNNNNNNNNNNNNNNNNNNNNNNNNNNNNNNNNNNNNNNNNNNNNNNNNNNNNNNNNNNNGUAUCUUAAAUACACUUAAGACUAUGCCUUGCAUUAUAAUAAAUAUCCUGCGGUACUUGAAGGAUAUAGUGAUGCAAAUUGGAUCACCGGAUCGAACGACGUAAAAUUCACAAGUGGAUAUGUAUUUACUAUCAGUGGAGGAGCAAUUUCUUGAAAAUCAUCCAAAUAGACUUGUAUCGCUCGCUCUAUAAUGGAAUCUGAAUUUAUCGCAUUAGAUAAAGCCGAUGAAGAAGCAGAAUGGCUCCAAAAUUACUUAGAAGAUAUUCUGUAUUGGCCCAAGCCAGUGGCACUAGUAUAUAUACACUGUGAUAGCCAAGCGGCAAUAGGUAGGGCAGGGAGCAUGAUGUAUAACGGUAAAUCUCAUCAUAUAAGAUGAAGACAAAAUACCGUUAGAGAACUUCUCUCUAGUGGAAUUAUCAUUGUAGACUAUGUAAAGUCAAAGGAUAAUGUGUCAGAUCCACUUACAAAAGGUCUAUCUAGAGAAGGAGUAGAAAGGACAUCCAAGGGAAUAGGUUUAAGGCCUAGGACAAGUCAGCACGGCGGUAACUCUACGUAGCAGACUGGAGAUCCCAAGAGCUAGGUUCAAGGAGAUCAAACAAAGUUGUGUCUGGAAGGUUCAACAUUGUCAAUUACCCAACCCAUUCUCAUGAUGUAGACGAUGUAUAGUAAAAACAAGGAUAAGACUUAAGGUUAAAAGUCUUUUAAUGAUUAUCUAAAUUUGGCAGAUUUGACCAAACAGUUUUAAUCUACAGGAUUGAACGUUUAGAAAUCACCUAUGUGAGGGCGAAGUGGAAGCCACUUCGAAGAGAAUGUUAGUAAAGGCCUAUUCUUUAAGCUCUCAUAAAACCGGAACGUGUUCAUGGCUGAAAAGAAUAAAACCAUGAGAACCAUAAAAGUUAAAAGGCUGGUUGUGUGACAUGUAUUGUCUAGGUGUACAUUAAAGCUCGACGGUUUAAAGAUAUCAAAUCUACCCGAGUGCAUCCGAUGCAUGUUCACUACGGAAAGUUCAAAGGGAAAUCCACUUAUCCAGAUGCAAUCAGUUUUUGCUUGAUGAUCACAUACUUGUUCGUAAAACUUUUACAAAAAAUAGUCAUUCUCCACUCAUGUGGGGGAUUGUUGGGUUCAUAGUAAAUGAGAAGUGUGAAUGGAAGAUGGAGAAAAACCAAAUGAAAGAGAAAAAUUGAGAUCACACCAAUAUGAAAAGUGUACUCAAAAAAUAGGAAAGCUUACUAAAUUCUCCCACAUUGGUGGGAGAAAGAAGCUUUAAAGUGUUUAUAUUGUGAAAUACACUCCCACAUGAAUAAGUGAGACAAAGAAUAAGAGAUACCUCGCGUCGUCGUCGUCGUCGCUCGCUCGGCUCGGCUUCAGAUUUAGAUUUGGCAAAUGAUCGAUGAGAUCUAUCUUUUUGGACAAACUUUAUUUGAAUUCCAAAGAAUGCCAAGGAAAAAUGCAGUAAAUUUUUACUGCAGAGUUUCGGACCUCCAUUUAUAUAUACAUGCAGUAACAGUUGCAUUGUUUCAAGUGAACUGAUGCAUUGUUUUCGAACUGGUGCUUCAGAAAUGAUACAUUAUUCUGAACUGAGGCUAUAGAAGGUUGCAAUAUUUCGAAAUGAUGCUUCAGAAGGAUGUAAUCCUUCAAUGAAGUGACACACUGAUUCAUGAAAUGAGAUGACUGUUCAGGAAAAGAUGCAAUCUUUGAUGAACAGACAUGAACUUACAGCAAAGGUGUAACCUUUGGAGUGAACCAUUGCCUCUUUUCAGAAGAGGCAUGUUAUGACUAUAUAAACCUGCUUUAAUCCACAGGUUUUGAUACGAAAAUUUCAAAAUACAAAAUUACUUCUUCUCUUCCAAAUUACUCAGUGUGAUCAAUCAAAACGUUCUGUGCGUUCAAAGAUAUUCCAACCGUUUGAGGUACUGCUACAGUUGGUCUGUUUAGCCAUUUUAUCCUGGUAGGAAAAAUUCCACUACCUCGGAUACAGUGAGGGGAAUUAUUUACUUAAGGAAACUCCGUCAAUUCGGACGACUUGGCUAUUUUCUGUUUCAUCUUAAUUUCUGAAAAAAUAAAAUAUAACUCUUGGAAAGGUCAUUUUGAUCUUGUGUUAAGGGUAUUUGAUAUACUUCAUUGUGUUCUUAUUUAUACUUGAAUUCUAGUUGAAGUUAUUGUCCUGCAUAUACUGAUUCUGUGUACCCGAAGUACAAACGAGAAAUAACAACCAGUUAACUGAACUGAACUACUUAGAUUUUCGGAAGAUAUCAUUUAUACUAUUGACGUGAAUUACAAAUGAAUCACAGCCAAACUUUAAAGUAAAUUAAGUAGCCCAUGACGAGUGCUAUUUGCUGCUGUUUAAAUAUAUCAGUCAUUAGCAAACAGUCCCUACUUACAAAAUGAUGAGGCGUACCCUGAUAAUUUUGGUAUAAAUGCUUGAGCAUACUUUAUUUAAGAUUAAAAGAUUUAAAGAAUACUUUGAUAUAUUAUACGUAUUUUUAAUUAAAAUCAAGAAACUAAAAAUUUUCUCUCAUUUUCAUAAAAAUCGUGCCUAUUCAAAUUAUAAAACUAAGACAGUAUUUAAAAGAGAGUAGUACAUAAUAUGAUGAAUUUUUACUUCAUAAAUGUACGUAAAACUUAAAAUUGCAAGUUUUUUUUGUAUUUCUUAGUUCAUAAUUAUAAACUUACAACUGAAAGUUUAUUCAUAUAACAUUUUUUUUAAGAAAAAAAAAAAAUCUUUCCCCUUAUGUCUGCUUUAGUAUCUUUUGGCUUGAUAUCUAAUUGCAUGAUAUGUCAUGUGUAUUUUAUCUUCUCAAGAUUUUUAACUUAAAAGUUUAUUGGUUCAAACAUGGAGUUUGUAGAUAUAGCAUUAAACUAGUGCAUUUGUACCAGUCUAUUAUUGCAGUAAAUCGGUUGCGAAGACUAAAACUGACAUGAAAUUAUAUUGGGUUAUCUGUCAAAAAAUUCAUGAAAGCUUCAUUGGUGGGAGAGUUUAGUAGACUUUCCUCAUUUGAGUACAGUUUCCAUUUUAGUGUGGACUCACUUUUCCUCCACUAUUUUUUCCCUCCAUUUUUCAUUCACACACAUUUACUUUGAACCCAACAUACUAUUGACGUGAAUUACAAAUGAAUCACAGCCUAACUUUAAAGUAAAUUAAGUUGCUGAUGACGAGUGCUAUUUACUGCUGUUUAAUUCUAUCAGUCAUUAGCAAACAAUCCCUACUUAUAAAAUGAUGAGACGUACCCUGAUGAUUUUGCUAUAAAUACUUGAGCAUAAGACCACAUCUAACAAAUCAUUUCAUCCUCAUCUACCUUACUAUAACAAAAUGAUGAGAACUAGAGAGACAGCAAUUAGUCUUUUGAUUCUUGCUUUGUUCCUCCUUAAUGUCUCUGCCUAUUUAUCUCUUCCCUUUCAUCUUCCAACCAAUAAUGAAACCUUUGGCCUUGAAUCAUACCCACAAGGACGAUGUGGAAGACAAGCUGGUGGUACAAAAUGUCCUACUGGAGCAUGUUGUAGUAUAUCUGGUUGGUGUGGAACCACAUCAGACUAUUGUACUCCUAGAAAGUGUCAAAGUCAAUGUGUUUUUCCACCCCCACCAUCAUAUCCAGAAGGACGAUGCGGAGAACAAACUUCUUUUAAAAGAUCAUGUCCUUCUGGACAGUGUUGCAGUAUAGCUGGUUGGUGUGGAAGCACAGGAGCCUAUUGUAAUCCUGGUUGGUGUCAAAGUCAGUGCAAAACUAUAACCUCGCCCACCAAGAAUCGCAUGAGAGGCAUUGAAAGCUUCCUGCUCAAUGCUCUCUAGAUGCUUGCUACCUUCUAUAUUCCCUAGAGGAUGUACUUUUACUCCUCUUUUGGGACUGGUUUAUGUGUUUGAUUAUUAACGUGUGUAUUAUUAAUGCAUAUUCCUCAGAACUCACUUGUGAGAUUUUACUGGGUAUGUUUUUACUAUAAUUAUAAUGCAUAUCUAAUGCAUUACUUAUCAAUAAAACAAAUAAAGGACUUUUGUGUAAAUUAAAAAUAGCAAAUGAAGGUCUGUUGUAUGAGUUCUUUUCCCUCAUUUUUCAUCUAUAUUUAUUCAUCAUAUAUAUAGUUGGAAAAGGAUGAUAGAAGAAAAUCUCAACUGAUUUACAUAAUACAUUAAAGAAGAUACUUUUCUUUUUCAUCAAACAUAUCAUCACUCCGGGCCAGUAUCCCACUGUUUAAUUAAAUUGGACCUUCUACAUUUUCAUCGAGAAUCAAACUUUUGUAUUACAAUGGGAACAACAACAAUAAUUAACUUCAUCUUCCUCUCUUCCUCUUCGGCUCUUCAUGUUCAUCACCAACACUAUGAAUUUCUAUCAAAAUACUUGACAUUUCAUCCUAUUACUGCAUGUUUGUCUGUUUCUUUAUAGAAAAUAUUAGCAGCCAUCGUAAUAAAACUCAAAAAAUUAUCAUCAUUCGGAAGAUUCCCAGAGACUAUGACUACGAAAUUUGAUCCAAAUUGUAAUUUAUAUGUUAUGUUUAGCAAAUCAGAAAAAAACUUUCUACCUUCACGAGAUUGGGAUAAGGCUGCAUAUAUAUUAUCUUCUCUAGACUCCACUUAUAGAAUUACACUGGAUAUAUUAUUUUUAUUGUAAAUAAGGGAGGAAUUUGUAUGUUUAGUAAUAUAGGGUCUAAUUAUUUAGUGUUGGUGUUAUUAUGCAUUUUAAUAUUAAAAUCUUAAUUUGCAUGAUAACUUAUGGACAUAAAGUGGAGAAAGUGGUGUCAUUAUAUUGAUAACUCUUGUAACUUCUAACACUUUAUUUGUGCAUAAACAACCACAUUAUGUCUUGUAAUUCAUAUGACCAUUGGUUGUUGUAACUUCAUGGUCAUUAGUUCCAUGUAACAUAUGUAACAACAAGACUAUUUAUCUACCCACAUUACUCUAAUUGUUAAUGCAUGGUGGUAGAAUGUGGCCUUUAGUAAUUUGUAACUGCUCUCAUUAUUUUGCUGUAACUCUCAUGGCUAUUAGUGCCAUUAGUUUCUUGUAACUCUUGUAACUAAAGACUAUUGAUCUUUCCUCUUUAAAACCCUUCUUUGUUCUUCCUAUUCAAUACAAGGAUGAAUACCUCAUCUAUAAAUAGUGGAGGUAGUCUUGCAUGUUAUUGCAUGAACAAGGAAACAUGAUAAAUGUGAAAAAGAUUAUAGUGUGUAGAAGUGAAAGAGAGAGUUGAGACAAGAAAAAUAUUCUAAGUCUACAACUAUAUUCACUAUACAAAACAGAGUAAUUAUAUUAAAGAAAGAAAGAGUUGAGACAAAGACAAUAUUCUAAGUUUUUAACUAUAUUCACCAUACAAAGAGAGUAAAUAUAUGUUGAAGGAAGGUGUUCUUAUGGUGGAGCUUUGGACUCUUCAACUAAGUCGGGGUUGUUUGAGUUAUACAUCGUUGAUGGGGUAGCUGUUGUAUCCUGGAGGGGACAAGUCAUGAGAUAUACUGCUGGAUCAAUGUAGAUUAUGUCGCAGUGGGCUUGAAUCUCCUUAAAGAGAGCAAAAUAUCCGUGCCUCAUCGAAGAAGAAGAUUAUUUUAUUUUCUUCACUUUUACUCAUUUUAUUUUUUAACUGUAAUCAUUUACUGCAAUUUUUUGUAUAUUAAACCAACAUUUAGUUAUAGGAUGAUUUUCUGUUAAAAACAUUGAAAUUGACAUUUAAUCAAAAACAUCUAGCUAGAAUAACUAGUUUUCUAGUUUAUGCGAAAAUUUAAUCGAUUCCUCUCUUGAUGUUGGUUGAAAAUAGUUUUUGUAAAAAUAUAAUUUUCUUUAUUUCAAUCAAACACUAAAGAAGCAAAAGUGUAUUUGAUUGCUAUGAAAAAUCAAAAACCAACAACAAAAGAAAAAAGAUUUAAAAAAGUAAAUGCUCAGUCACUAGGAGGAAGGAGAAUGUUUAGCAUUUCCAAGAUCACAAGUUUUUUAUUUUUAAAAAAAGAUUAUAAAUUUUGUAUCCAAUUAAAUAAAUAGGAUCACAUUACAUGAAAUUAGUUAUGGAAUUUAUCGGAAAUAUCUAGCUAAUCCGUUGCUAGAAAACUACCUAGCUAAUUGAACAUUUUUAUAAUCAACCUCUAAUUUGUAGCUAAAUAGAACUAGCAUGAAAUAUUAUUUUCAGUUUAAGUUAUCUAUAUUGUAAAUGUGAUUUAUUUUAACAUUAUCUUUAGUUAUUUUUUUUAUUUAAUCAAAUAUCAACCAUUAUCUUUUAAUUAUGGCAUAUAUCUUUUAUCCACACAAAAACUUUGAGGAAAAUAGAGAGUAACCCUAAUAUGCAUGUCACAAUCAAUCAUGUUAAAAUAAAAGGACGAUUUCUAAUUGCUAUCAUUAGCAUUUGGCAGGCUGCUCUUAUUAACAUCCAUCCUUCGUUGCCUACUAGAUUCAAGUGGACCAUUAGUUGAUUGCUAGUUUUAUUAUAAAUGGCGAUGACACAACCGUACAUUCGUCUUAUUGCUAGCCUUAUUAUAUAUGAAAAUAACGGCCACGGAUUUCUUCACUUUCUGUGUCUUUUUCGUACAACUAUUUUUUUUGUUUUUGUUUCUUUGCUAUGAUGAGUAGUAAUUGAAAAAAAUGUAACAAAAAAACAAAGAAGAAAAAGAAGAAGGAGGAGGAGGUGGAGGAGGGAGAAAUAUAACUUGAUUUUAGACUUUUGUCUUUUUUUGCUUCACAAAUUCUUUGGGCAUAAUGAAUUACAUUUCAUGUUAGGCCAUAUGAUUUUUAUUCGUCUAUGCGCUAAUCCAAUCUCUUUUGAUUUCAUCUUUCAUCAUCUUAUAAAAUAUCUCACUUAUUCACUAAAUACUAAUGUAUAUUUGAUACAAUUUUCUAGAUAUCUCCCACAUUUUGAUGUACAUUUUCACUUUUCUUUACUAUCUAAUUUAUUAUUAAGGAAAUAAUGUACUGUGAUUGAGAGUUUCAAUUCAAUGAUAAGAUUAUAAUAGUCUCGUUCUUCAUACAGUGUAAAUUUACAAUAAAUGAAGUACACCAUAACAACAUGCAUGUAUUUUCUUUUCGGAAAAGACAUCAUUCCCACCCCAUACUAUACAAGAAAAGUUUAAGCCACACCUAAAUUGUAUAAGUGACCUAUUACACACCUUAACUAUAUAAAAGUGAUAUUAUUACCUCUCCGCGACCCCCAUUCUAAGGCGCGUGUGUUACACUUAUUUUAGGCGCGUCCAGCCUAUUAAAUAACAAAAGUAAACGGCUAAAAACAUUAAGGGAAAAGGCAUCGUUUCCACCCCAAACUAUAGUCGAAAAGUCGAAUCAACACCUAAACUAUAUAAGUGACCUAUUACACACCUUAACUAUAAACAAGUGAUACUUUUUACUGACGUGGCAGCGCGUGUAAAACACUACACCACAUGCAAGUGGUGGUAGCCUGACAGGGUGUAAAUAGUUUCACUUUUUUAUAGUUUAGGUGUGUAAUAGGUCACUAGUAUAGUUUAGAUGUGGCUUCGACUUUUCGGGUAUAGUUUGGGGUGGAAACGAUGCAUUUUCCCUUUUAUAUUCUGUAAACAUAACAAAUAAGAAUAAAAAUCUAGAAAAAAAAAAAACCAACGAUGUUGGUCACAUCAGCUUCCUCGUUCCAAGAAUUAUGGGAGUUUUAUAUAUUUUUUUAACCUUGUUGUUUUAUGUGGAGUCUACGAGGUACGAGGAUUAUGGUUUUGAUGAUCGACACUUGACCAGGUUCAUGUUAAUUGUGAAUCAAGUUCUUGAUUAUUGUUGGACUGGUCAAUUUAGUUAUGUGACAUGUAAUAAAUACUUGUUUAAAUAAAAAAUUCAUAAUUAAUGUAUUGAAAAGAAGCAGGAAUUCUAAGUCAUUUUUUAAAAAAAUUAUGGUAAGCCAGUGUAUUCUAGCAGUUUUUUUUAAUAAAAACUGAUUUGCACAAGGAAAAGUAAGUUGUUAAGGGAGGCAAACAACCAAUACAUACCCAACAAUGUAAUCAAUUUGGCAACGCCUUUUUGCACAUCCACAUAUCUAGGCAAUCACAAAAACAAGAAGGAGCAAGACAAAGAAAAUCAACAAGCUAAAGCAAGAACGAGCAAGACAGAGAAAAUCAACAAGCUGAAUAAUAUCAAGCUAUUAUCCGGUGGUAGUUUGGUGUCGAUUUUAGUUUUGCCUUAGAAGUUUUUUAUUGAAUUCUAAUAGCUUCAGUUCUGUGUUAGAACUUAGAAGUAAAGUGUUUGUGAGGCGUUGUAACAAGAAGCAAGUUUGACUUCUUAAGGCUCAUUUGUUUGCACUUAAUGGAGGUCUGAAUCUGAAUAGUUCAGACUUCAGACCAUUAAAUGCAUUUGUUUUUUUAUUAAGAUUUUAACUCUUAAUAGGUCUGAAUGGUCCUAAUCAUUCAGAUAUAGAAUCAAGUCUUAAUAGGUCUGAAGAGUUAUUCUGGUGUUGGAUAAUUUUCAACGUCACUCUAUUCAUAAUCAUCAGUCACCACCUCUGCCAUUGUCAUCAUUGUCAACUACCACCCACUACCACCAACCACCUUCACCAUCACAACUACCAUCGACAGCAAAUAUUGCUACCAACCACUAUUGUCAACCGCUACCACACCUACUACCUCUAUUAUUCUAAUUAUAUUUAACGCUACCACCAUCAUCAACAGCACUCCCAUCAUCAACCACUACCGGUCAAUCCCUACUAUCGACCAACUCAUUUAUCACAACUAGUACCACCGCUAACUACCACUAAUAUAUCACAACCUCCACACAUUCUUCGGCGGCCACCACUAUUGUCACUAGUAAUGUCACCUCUAUCAUCACUCCAAUCACUAUCAUCGCUAUACUUUAUCUCUACUAACAACCAUCUCUACCAUCACAACUAACAAUAUCUUCAACUAGAACCAACACAUUGUCAACCAUUAUUCAUUCAUUUUUCAGCCAUCAUAAUCAAAACUUUCAACUACUAACAUCAAGCAACGUCACAUCACAACUGUCACACCCCUUUUUCAACCAAAAAGUUUUUGAGUUUAAGGUUAAAAAGGGUUUUAUUAAACCAACGCGUCAAAAGAUGAAAAUUUGUUUCGAAAAAAGGUUAUUUUUACAUUCAAAUUCAGAGUCACCACUUGGCAUAAUCUGGUGUGCCAAGUCACCUUUGAAAAAUUCUUUUUAAAACGAUUUUUGACUCUUUCAAAACUGAUUUACGAACAGAGAUUCCGGCUAAGGAAUUCUGUUGACCAAGGGGAAGGUGUUAGGAACCCCUCGGUCCCGUGGUUCGACCACGGUCGCUUGGUGGAGAAUAUCAGAUAAUUUGACACUACGAAUGUAUAAACCACACAAAGCACGCAGAACAAUCAAUCAAGCAAACAAAACAAAAACAAUCCAAAAUUUAGUGCUCAGUCCAAUUAUACAGUUUCGAAAUAGAAAAAUGUAGAAAUAUAAACCUACACUAUUCUAGGCUAAUCUUAAACUAUGGUCCAUUGCUUUCUACACCCAACGUUCCGGGCCUUGAUCGUGCGUCGUCUUCAAGUACAUGAUACUUCGGGGCAUCCCUAGUGAAUAAAUACGAUUCCUUCGGAGCAUUCCCCGGUAAAUGAAUACAAUAUCAAUUUCAUGAGAUAAACUAGAAAACAUCUGACACAUUUAACAUUCCACGCAUUCAAUCCAACAUCAAUCCUAAGUUUUACCUACUCGAAUCUAUAUUUGCCUAUCCAUUUCAACAUAUCAUAAAUCUAUCACGUUCCGAUAAUAUUCAUGCUUAUUCCGGAUUAAAAAAAACAAUGAUCAACCAAAAUUGAUCUAUAUUUGCCCAUUUUCAUUAAUUUCUUAAUUCCACCCCACGAAUUCCAAUUCCUCAAUCACUCUAUCCACAUGAACCAAAUCAAUCAACAUCAACCACGGUAAUCAAAGUUACUUGAACCAAUAUCAAAUCACGUCACCACAUCACAACAACAGCCACAUCGACGUAAGAAAAGAGAUAAGGCUAAGGGAUGGACCUUUGAAAGAUUUGAUUCCGUUGAUAAUAAUGUUUAAGAAAAUCCGGACGUAGAAUUCCGAAUAGAACCUUAGCAGCGACGAACUCCAACUCUAUAUCAAGGUAUUUGAAACCCCAAAACUGACCUCAAUAGACUGAUCGACACGAAAGGAAAACUAGAUACCCAAACUAGGAACGAAAACUGAGAAACCCGAAACCCGACUUUGAAUAUGAAUCAACUAAGAUGAACCUGAAGCUCCGAAAGUCCCAUCGAACCUACAAACCUACAGAAAUCGAGUUCGAUGAGCUGACAAUGAGCAAAACUACUAAAACGAUCAGAUUCCAGCAAUAUCGCGUUUAGAAAUUAAAGGAAAAUAAAGGGAAUUUGGCGAUUAGGAGACUAAUUCGAACGACGAUCGGUUGAAACUGAUUUCGGCCCGAAGUCAUCGAAAAUUACGUGUCUACAACAACCACCACCAUCACUAUCAACCGUCACCAUCAUAACGGUCACUACAAUACCAACCAUCACAACUAUCACCACUAACAUCCAUUAUUGUCACCGCAACCACUAUUAUAAAGCAUAUCUGCUAUCACUAAAAAACAUAAAUAUUUUUUUAUUCAAUUAAAUAAUAAUUUUGUUGUAUUAAAUUACAUAUUUUUCUGAUAUCUAAUUAAUUUUUUAUUUGAAUUGUAUUUUUUAUUUUAUUAUAUAUAGAAAUAAUUUUUUUUGUACAUUCAGAUAUUGAAAAACAAACAAUCUUAAUCAUUCAGUUUUCAGAUCUAGAGACAAUAUCUUAAUCAUUCAGACGUGCAUUCAGAUUCAAACGUCAGAAUCUUAGAAAAAACAAAUGCAGCCUUAGAGUGGUUAAGUAGUGUACAGAACAGUUAGAGUUAAUUGUUGAGGUAAAGUACUAGAUUGAAUCCCUUAGACUGUAGAGUUGUAAUUUGAAAUGUUGAUGGUGUGAAGAUAGUGGAGAUUGGUGUUGAAAUCUCCUAGCAUAUUGUUCGUGUUUAGUUUGUUUUUACUAUUUACUACAUUUUUCUGAACCAGGUUUCUAAUACAUGUGGUGGAGUUAGCUGUUUUAUCAUUUUAAGCCUUCAGUUUCAAUUUUUUUGUCUAAAUUUGACUCAAGCUUAUGAAAUUAAAGAAGAUGGUUGAAUCUUGUAAUCUUAGACUAAAGAUACGUUGAACGUAUGAUAAUGAACUUUAAUUUUAUGAUCUUAAGCAUGUCACGAGAAAAGUUAAAAUUAAAGAGUUGCCAAAAAAGAAAAGAGACAUUCUUUUUUAAACAAAUUACGAAGAAAAACAAGAGAAACAAAUUGACAAGUAGGAACAAUAUAUUAAGUUUAAACAAUUCUGUUCCUUUUACUUGAGCUUACUCGUACCACUUCGUAAAGAGGGAUUUUUUUUUUUUUGGGCAAAUUUGGGACCACUCGGAUAUUAUCCGAAGUGAAAGAACCUCAAAAAACAAUAAGUACAAGUAAGAGGGGUCAAAUCUUACCAUAAAAAUCUUAAUGAAAUCAAAUCCUCUACUAAUACUAUCAAGCUAUGUAAGAAAUAAGAAUUUGAAAGAACCAAAUAUUUAAUGAUCAUUACAAGUAUUUAUAACACACUUUAUAAUAAUAUUACAAAUAAAGAUAUUAACAGGAGAGAUAAACGUAGUUAUUGGAGUGUAAAUUUUGUGUUUAACUAAUGUGUGAGUGUAGACACAUAAUUUUGUCCCCCUCAAAAGUUCGUUUUUAUUCAUUUCUACCUUAUCAUAUCAUGUACUCUCCCCACGUGAUUACACCCCACAAAUAAUACAAAAAAAAAAAAAAAUAACUCUCAACAAAAUCCCUAACAAACUUUUAUUCUUUUAACACCCUAACAACCCUCUCCAAUAAAAAAGUGACAAAUCACCACCUCACCACCCCAUACCCUACCCUUUACCCCUACCCCACGUCCUCCCCCCUCUUUUUUUCUUGUCCAAGAAGAAAGGACUCAAAAACCAAAAAUACAAUAUAUAUAUAUUAACCACUCGCAUUUAAGCAAAUAAUCUUAUUUCUUUUGAAUACUCUCCAAGAGUUUCAACGAUUUUCAAACCAUCAAUUUAUCCCUCAUAAGGAUAAUAAAUAAGUUUUCCAAAAACUUUAUAUGCUUCAGGCAUUUUGAAUCCUUUAGGGAUUUUCAUAUGGAUUUUUGUAAAGUGACAAUACCAAUAUGUGUGACAUCUUCAAGUGUCUGGACUGCAAAUCAAAUAAGUUUUAUGCUUACCAAGAUGCAUCCUUUCACGUCACUUGAUAAAUUUUUCUACGUCAACAUACUUAAAUUAACGUAGAAUUCAGAUCUUCAUAAUCUUUUUACAAUAUUGCGCCAAUAUUGUAUCAUAGAUAUCGUCGAUGAUUUCUUAUUUUGUAACGAUUCACAAUGCGACAUAACAUUUUGAGAUCUCAUCACUUCAUUAUUUUCAGGUACCUAAACCUCUCAUAAGGUUUCAUGAAGUGUUAUGUCGUAGGCUCUUCAAGAGCUUAUUGCCUUCUUAUUAUGAUUAUUUGCUCCUUAUUUUUCAAGGACUAUUUCAUUUAGAACCGAUUAGUCCACCACGCUUCACGCAUGCAUAGACUUUGUCCUUUAGGAACACAAAAUAAGAGCACUUGCGCUUAAUAUGAGAUGCUUUCGGCAUUUGACUUGAAUUAUCUUUUGGAUGAGGAUCUGGUGAUAAUUCCUAACAUAUUUCAUAGCGCUUAUAAUCUCCCCCUUAUGUUAGAAAAAGUAGCAUACAUCCUCUAUUUCUUUGAGGAAUCCAUCAUUGUGCAUUAUUGUAUAUUCAUUAAUCGUAUAUCGCACAUCAAAAUUAUUAGAUAGAAUAAUUGGUUCAUGACCUUGAACCAUAUAAGGGGAAGAAAUAAUCAUAAUUUAUUAAUCUAAUGCAUACAAGUGUUAUUGUAUGCAACAUGUCAUAUUUCAGAUCAACACAUGAAGCUUUGUUCUCAUUAGCGAUGGUUUAGCUAUUUAUCGAAGGCAUUCAAUGCCAAAUCAUCAUCAUCAAGAUAACUUUCGUGUUGCACAAUCUGAAAAUUAUGUUCUUAACUCAAUUUUGUUGAGCAAGCAACUUUAUGAAUGUCAAACUGCAGGUUGACAAUGAAAGUAUAUGUGAUCAUCUUAUUGAUGCAUCAUUUUAACAUAUCACAUGAUAGAUGAACGAGCCCUUAUUCACCUUUUAUUCAGAUUUGAAGGUCCAAUCCCAAUAUUAGUUGGUCCAACCAACUUAUCAUGAGAACAAAUUAAACGACAUAAACAAUCCUUGAAGAAUCUUGUAGUUCUUCAAUACAUGCAAAUUUUCGAGAUGUCACAACUUUUAUUCUAGUAAACUCCAAGUUUACCAUGACAUGUACUUUUUCUUUAGUAAAUUUCAGAUUUACUAUUACAUGAAUAAAUUUUAGAUUUACUACUUCAGAAGUAGAUUUCAAAAUUAUUCAACCUCUUUCGGAGGUGAGUUGUGAUACAAUCANNNNNNNNNNNNNNNNNNNNNNNNNNNNNNNNNNNNNNNNNNNNNNNNNNNNNNNNNNNNNNNNNNNNNNNNNNNNNNNNNNNNAUAACCUCUUUCAAGAUUUUGCUACUUCAGAAGCAAAUCGAGGCAUACAUAUGAUGUAGAGAAUUUUUCUCUAGCAUAUCUUAUAAUCAUAUAAGCGUGUGAAAAUAUCAUCACUUUUGAUGAUCAUUAUUAUAUUCGUGCAUUCAAUCACUUGUCUUUUUUCAGACAUAUUAUGCAUUGCUACCACAUACACUUCAUGGAAUGGAGCAUAUUCAAUGGGUCAAAUUUCAUGACUUUUCACCCAAUACCCAUUAUUUUUCCUUAGCCAUCACAAUAUCAUCAAUUUGGUGUAUCGAGAUUCAAACUCAAUAUUUUAUCCAUAUAAAGGCGUCUUAGGCAUAAAUCGAUGGGACUUGAACUCAAAUAUUAUCGUCCCUUUUGAUAAUAUUGUUCUUGAAGAAUGAAUUUUAAACAUAAAUGGUUUCAAACCAAUUAUUUUUCCUCAAAUCCAACAAUAAUUAUAUCAUUAAUAGAAAAAUACAAAUAACAUAAGGAAUUACUAACCUUGACCUUUAGAUUUAUAAUCUCACCUUAUUUGGCAGAAUCUCGUGUUGAUAAUGUGUUAUAAAAUAAUAAAGAAUAAAGAAGAAGAGUAGAGAGAAUAGAGAGAGUGAUUCUUAUUUCUUCUCUUGAGGGAUUCUUGAGGGGUCAUCAGAUUAUAAAUACAAUGAAUAAAACCUCUCUAUUUAUGGGAGAAAUUUACUCCUAGUCUAAGUAAAAGAAGAAUGCUUCAAAUCCUAAUAGAUAUCAACAUAGAUCUUGAUAGAUAUGUGUCUCACCCCCUUUUUUUAAACUCCAAAAAGAUUAUUUAAGGUUCGAAAGUGUUUUUAUUAUUAAAGUGAUAAAAGGAAGAUAGUUUGUUUCUAAAGGGACCUUUUACAUUCAAAACUCAGAGUCGCCACUUGGCAUAAUCUGGUGUGCCAAGUCACCAUUGGAAAGUCCUUUUCAAAACCAUUUGACUCUUUAAAUUAGUUUGUGAACAGAGAUUCCGGCUAAGGAAUUCUGUUGACCGAAGGGAAGGUGUUAGGCACCCCUCGAUCUCGUGGUUCGACCACGGUCGCUUGGUGAAGUAUAUCGGCUAAUUUGAACACUAUGAAUCAAUAAACCACACGAAACACAAAUAAAACGAUCAAUCAAACAAAUAGAUCCAAAACAAUGUCCAGUCCAAUUAUACAGUCCAAAAAUAGAAAAAAGAAUGCGAAAAUGUAAAUCCUAUUCUACCCUACACUAAUUUUAUACUACGCUCCCAUGCUACCCGAUGCCUCGGGCCUUCAUCAUGGACGUCCUCCAAAUACAAAAUACUUCGGGGCAUUCCUCGGCGAAUAAAUACAAGUGAUCGCGGGACAUUCUCCGAUUAAAUGAAUACAUUUCCAAAUGCAAGAACUAAAACCAAACUGUUCAACUCAAAUUUCACAUUCAAACAUUCAACAAGAAAACUUAUUCCUAAAUUUUUUGCCUACCCGAAACAACAUUCUCCUAUCUAUUUCAACAUAUCAUAAUUUUAUCACAUUCCAACAAUAUUCAUGCUCAUUACGAAUUAAACAAAACAACAAUAAACCAAAGCUAAUCUAAAUUCAACUUUUUUAUCAAUUUAUCAAUUCCAUCCCCCAAAUCCAUUUUCAACCACAUUACUAAACCAGUUCGACUAUCAAAUCUUUUCAAAAUUCAAAACCAACAACACAUACCCCAACGAAGAUUCAAACAUUUAAGCAUUCCAAUCAUUCAUAUCCGCAAUAACAAUUAACAUUUUUGCUCGAAAUAUUCAAAACCACACUACAAAAUCACGAUAUUAACCAACUUCGAUAUAAUAAAAAAGUAGAGUUGAGAAAUGGACCUUUGAAGAAUCGAUUUCGUUAAUAAUAAAAUCAAGAAAGCCCGGACUAUAGAAUUCCUAGUAGGACCUCAACAAUGACGAACUCCAACUCCGUAUUGAAAAAUUUAAGACCCAAAACGGAAGCUCCGUAAAUCUAAUCGAACUCAAAAACCAACACUGUUCACGUACUGUUCACAACACUGUUCACGGUACUAUUCAUAACACUGUUCACAGCACUGUUCAUGGCACUAUUCACGAUACUAUUUCUUUCUGAAUUUUUUUUCUCUCGCGCGAUUCUCUCUUCUCCCCCUCUGUUUUUUUAUUCUUCUUGUGAGGAAGAUGAUUUGGUGAUGUUGUUAUUGUGGAGAAGAUGAUGAUGAAAGAAUGAGCCUCCCUUUUCCCCUUUUAGAAUUUUCCUUUUAUAUAUUUUUUAUUUGGUUUUUCUUUUUCUUUAUUUAUUAUCAUAUGUGGAAGCAUAUAAUUGGUGGCUUGUGGGAAUAAGUGUGUGGCAUGUGGAAAAGUUAGUGUGGCAUGUGGAAAGAUGAGAGUGGUGUGUGGAAAAAUGAGUAGGGCGUGUACCUUUUGCAUGUAUACAAUGAAAAAUGAAAAGUGAGGUGUUGAGGUGGCAUAGUGAGGUGACAAAGAUGCUAUGUAUUUAAUUAUUUUCAAUUCUUUUUUUUUUGGAGAAAUUAUCAAUUAAAAAAAAGUAUGAUAAGGUGAAUAAUAUAAAAAUAAAAAAAUUAAAAUUAAAAUUAAAAUAAAUAAAAUAAAAUAAAAAUAAUUAAAAUAUUUUUGGGUUAGGACAAAAUUACGUGUCUACAUCAUGCCCCCUUUGAUGUAACACAUGGUGUUUUCAUACAAAGCAGUAGACAACGUGACAGAAUUUUGUCCUGACCUUUAUUCAAAAGCACGGAGCACGAGAAAGGAGGAAAACCAAGUUUUUACUUAGGAUAUCCUACCUACCCAAGUUAUGAGGGAAUCAACAGUUAUCUCAAAGGAUUGGAAGAAGCUGGACUAUGCCGAGUUGGAGAAUCGAGUGAGGUUCCAUCGAGGUUCCGGUCCGCGGCUCUGUUAUUACAUCAAAAAUAAAAAUUACAAGUUAAAAACAAAAAUAAAAUUACAAAAUCCUAUCUACGCAGCUUCUGUUGGACUCUUGACUUGAGUUUCAUCACUCUAUUCUUCAGGCGAGCUCCUGAUUUGAAAUUUCUUCAACUUGUUGCUUGGUUUUCAAUUUCAUCACCCUGUUCUCCAGACGGGCUCCUGGCUUGUUAUUUUCUAUCUGUUGACUUUCAUUUUCUUCAGUUUGUUACUUGACUUUCAACUUCUUCACCUUGUUACUUGACUUUCAAUUUCUUUACCUUGCUGGUUGACUUUCCAUUUAUUCUCCCUGUGCUUCGGGCGGGCUCCUGAAAUCACAUCAAAACUAGAAAAAAAAUUAUCCCAAACAAAUAUUAUUAUAAAGAGAUUUCAUAUGCCAGGAAAGUAAAGUUCUAACACAAGAAUUAAAUUUUGCCCCAGUUUGGACUUUUGCGAAAGUCAAAUCAUUAUAGGAAUCAAGGAGAAUGACUCGAUUAUAAGGUGCGUCUGAUAGGAAUCAAAGGAAUUGGCUCAACUAAAAGGUACGUAUUUGAGGGAUCAAGGAUAAUGACUCGACUAAAAGGUACGUCUUAUAGGAAUCAAGGGAGAUGCCUUGACUAAAAGGUACGUCUUACUAGCAAUCAAGGGAGAUGACUCAACUAAAAGGUACGUCUUAUAGGAAUCAAAGGGAAGGACGCGACUAAAAGGUACGUCUUCUAGGAGCCAAAGGAAAUGACUCGACUAAAAGGUACGUCUUAUAGGAAUCAAAAGGAAUGACUUGACUAAAAGGUACGUCUUAUAGGAAUCAAAUGAGAUGACUCGACUAAAAGGUACGUCUUAUAGCAAUCAAAAGAAAUAACUCGACUAAAAGGUAUUUCUUCUAGGGGUCAAAGAGAAUGACUCGACUAAAAGGUACGUCUUAUAGGAAUCAAAGGGAAUGAAUCGACUAAAAGGUACGUCUUCUAGGGGUCAAAGGGAAUGACUCGACUAAAAGGUACGUCUUAUAGGAAUCAAAGACAAUGACUCAACUGAAAGGUACGUCUUAUAGGAAAUAAAAAAGAUGACUCGACUAAAAGGUACGUCUUAUAGGAAUCAAAGGGAAUGAAUCGACUAAAAGGUAAGUCUUAUAGGAAUCAAAGGAGAUGACUUGACUAAAAAGUACGUCUUAUAGGAAUCAAAGGGAAUGACUUGACUAAAAGGUAGUGUUCUAGGGGUUAAAGGGAAUGACUCGACUAAAAGGUACGUCUUAUAGGAAUCAAAGGAAAUAACUCGACUAAAAGGUACGUCUUAUAGGAAUCAAAGAAGAUGACUUGACUAAAAGGUACGUCUUAUAGGAAUCAAAGGGAAUGACUCAAAUAAAAGGUACGUCUUAUAGGAACCAAAGGGAAUGACUCAACUAAAGGGUAUGUCUUAUAGGAAUCAAAGGAGAUGACUCAACUAAAAGGUACGUCUUAUAGGAAUCAAAGGAAAUGACUCGACUAAAAGGUAUGUCUUUUAGGGAUCAAAGGGAAUGACUCGAUGAAAAGGUACGUCUUAUAAGAAUCAAAGGGAAUGACUCGACUAAAAGGUACGUCUUUUAGGGAUCAAAGGGAAUGACUCGACUAAAAGGUACGUCUUCUAGAAAUGAAGGUUCAAUUUAAGAAGUGUAUCAUCCAGCAAAUGAAAACUGAAAUUCCUCGACAAGUAAGUGUGUCUCCGAGGGAUAUAAGAUGAUGAAUUUUUACCAUGAUUUAAUUAUCAAACCUGUGCAACAGCAUUGCUUCUCGCAUUUGUAAAAGUAAGAAAUUACGGGCCUUGAUGUUUAGGAUUUGAAAUCCUUGAUUUGAAGGUAACAUGUGUUCCUGUUUCAUGCAAAGAAAGGUUGUGAGAUCAAAAACAUAGUGACUGGUUUGUGGCUUUGGCUUUCGUGGAAAACGCUCUUGCCGUCAUCAUAUUUAAUCUUGCUUCCAACCAUUAGUCUGUGUCAUUGACUUGCUGCUUUAUUGACCAAACUCAGAUUAUUAAGAGUGACUGAGACAAACACAGCAUCUCUGCUUUGCCAUGCUUCUCAGGUAGACCACCUUGGAACCUUGGUAUUUCAUGAGUUCCCAGACUUAUUUGUUAACAAAACUUUCUGCUUGCCUCAUUUUGGCUCACAAUCAUGUCUCUUUCAUGCGUUGGCCUUUCUGCCUUACUUUGUACAAUUGAAGAAGCUGGUAGCCAGUUUUGAAAUUUUUUCUCACUUGUUUUGACAUAGACUUGACUCAAAUACAAGAGAAAAAUGACAAUAAUUUUGUUUGGAUAACUGACUCAAGAAAAAUAAAAAUAUAACUAUAGAAAAGAAAGAAAUGAUAAUGAAUGUCCCCAUUGAAAAAAAUGAAAAAAAACUUUAUCUGAAAAUGAUAGUCAACUCUAAUGAUUAUGACAUGCAUAUCGGAUUAAACUACCUGAUCUUUCCAUCCAAAACUCUCAUAAAUUGUUGUUGAGUUAAUGACCCUGAAAGUGGGUUGCUUUCUUGGGCCAAUUGCAUUCGGAGACCACAUUCGGCUAGUGACGCCUUGAAGGGUUUUCUUCAAUAAGCCUCUCUCAUUUUCUUUUAUCACCUGACCAUUGCCUUAUAGUAUCCGAGAGGGUUUUUUACCAAUAAGAUUCUUAUUUUCAUUUUUCUCAACUCAUAGUCGUCUUACAGUGCCCGUGAGGAUGAGCAUUGUGGAUAAAAAACCUUGUUGCAAGUGGUUAUGUGGAUUUCUUGGAUUUUGGGGAAAGAAACCUUAUUGUAAGUGGUUAUGUGGAUCUAAUAUGUAAGCUCGGGAUUGAGGCUGACAGUACUGGUGGGUUGGACCUCUCAAACUCUACUUUGGUCCUGGCAUGACAAUAGGUACAUUUUUCUUCUUCUUUUCUUCAGUUUCCCUUGUUUGAUUGCAAUGUCGUCCUAAAUGUUUCACAGAAUCCUUCUGUCCAUCAGGCUCCCCAAAUUUUGAUGUCUCAAAGCUAGGAGGAAGAUUAACACUUGAAGACAUGACCUUGUUUUUAUAUGAAACAUCUUCAUAGCCCAUAAGUUCAGGGGAAUUUUUCAUAUCAUUUUCUACACUCUUAACUUUCCUAACCAUUUUCUCUAGCUCUUCUAGCAUGCUAGGCUUCUUAGUAAAAAAUUUUGACGGUCCACUUAAUUUAACGGUAGGCUCAAGAGUAUAACAAUGAUCAUCAAGAGUAUUGAACGUGGAUUCAUGACUAGUGGACUGGAGAAACACAAUCGUUGGAUUGAUAGCCAAAGUGGAAGUCUUAGUAGAAGGUUGAGCAAUAAAAACACAGACAGUAUAUGAUGCUGUGAAUGUGGUAGACUUAUACUGAGGAGCUAAAGAAAGAGUGGUGGAAGUAUUGAGGUGCAUUUGACGUGGAAUGAAUUAUGAGGCAUGUUGUGGUAUAUCAACAACAGUAGGAAAUUGACUUUGCGAUUUUGGUGGAAGACUCAAGGUAUUUGCAGGGUCAAAAGUGGGGAACGGAGGUGGAGGCAGCCCACUGGCCCAAGCUCGGUAUAUUUCCAUCAUUUGUUGUCUCAGUCUCAAAUUCUCUUUCUUUAAACUCUCAAUUUCCUGACUCUUUGUUUUAUCCAUGGUGCCACUUUUUAUAUCCUUGUUGGACACAACUAAACCUUCCUUGAAUUUGGUGUGAUAUGGAGGACCAGUCAGGAAGUCACAAACCAACCACCAUAAACUAACUGAACAAGAGGCAACAAAUAUGUUAGAGUUCAACAUUUUUCAAAACCUCUUUUUUUUUUUAGAAAAGACCACCGAACCCAAGAAGGGCGCCUGCAUAUCUCACCCCCGAGAGAGGAGAAUCAGGUGUGCGUAGUUCGUGAAGUCUUGCUAAAAUGGCCAAUUAAACUCUUUGUUUUCUUUCUUUUUUUUGUUCUUUUUCUCGAAACUUUAAGAAGAAAAGAAAAUAACAAUUUGUCAAAAGAAUUGACGAAAAUGUUUUUGAAUUUUUCAGCUUUAACAUCCCUAUACAAAGUGAAAUCAAUGAUUACCAAAUAAUUUUUUUUGGGGGGGUUUCAGUUUUAAAUUUCAUAUGAAAAUGAAACCUGAACCUGUUAAAGGGAAAUCUUUUUGCAGUUUUCUUUUAUUGAUGCAUAUGACACCUACUCUAAAUGAUGAGUGAAAAAAAUAUUUUUAAAUUUUUUAAAUAAGAUCCCCGAACCAACAAUAGGUUGUCUACGUAUCUCACAUUCCGAAAGAGGAGAAUCAGGGGUGGCGUAGUUCGUCCAGAUGGGACAAUUAAAAAUUAAAUAACCGACUGAACCCUGACUUAAUAGAUGAGACUACAACGAUAAAAAUCUUUUUUGAGGUUUUCACUUUGACACUCCACAUAAAACUGACACCAACAACUAUGAAAGAAAAAUCUUUUUGAUAUUUUCAUGAAAUGUACAAAACUCCUACAAUUUUUACAUUUUUCUUUUAUAAAAAAUCCUAUGAAUGAAUUUUUUUUUUUUUAAAGUUUUUGAAUUAUGAAUACUUGCUUAAGGAAACAAAAGAAAAAUCUUUUUGAUGUUUUUGAUUUUGACAAAUGAAUGCAAAAGGUGAAAAGAUUUUUUUGAAUUUUUGGAUUGUGAAAAACGAAAGCCCUAAAGAACUCUAAAAACUACGAAACUCUCUCUUUUUUUUUCUUCGACUCACUUUUUUCAUUGCCUUCACACUUGAUUUCUAACACAUGUUUUCCCCAAAUCGGUCUGUCAAAAGACCCCAUUAUCCUCAAAGAUGCAACGUUUAGCACGUAGGGAUGAGGUAGAGGUGAGUCUCCUAUAAAAGACCAAAUGGGGCCCGCUAGGUAUCAAUAUGAUGAACAUAGUAUGACCUAAAGGCUGACCUAUGCUAGGGUUCACCAACAAGGCUGUUCGGGGGAGCGUAUGGUCGAUAGUGGCAGCUUUAGCUGUCCACCUACUCCAUACCAGCCAACGGCUCCCCUCUUUUAAAAUAAGGGUGACUAAACUAUAGGUCCUGUACACAGCGUGUACGACAGAACUUGUUGCAGAAAGAUUGACUCGGGUCAUGCACAUGAUGCCAGAUAUAAAACGGUAACACAUAAGAUAAAAACUGUAAACAAAGAGCACGUAGGCACUUAACAAUGAUAAACAAUAACACAAAAUAACACAAACAAAAUGUCUAUACACCUAUAGUGACAAACUAAGCCGAUACAACUCCAAAAUAAACUCGAAUUCUAAAAAAAAUCCCCAGCAGAGUCGCCAGAGCUGUCACACCCCCUUUUUUUAAACUCCAAAAAAAUUAUUUAAGGUUUGAAAGGGUUUUUACUAUUAAAGUAACAAAAUGAAGAUAAUUUGUUUCGUGAAGGACCUUUUACAUUCAAAACUCAGAGUCGCCACUUGGCGUAAUCUGGUGUGCCAAGUCACCAUUGAAAAAUCCUUUUCAAAAUCAUUUGAUUCUUUAAAUUGGUUUGCAAACAGAGAUUCCGACUAACUAAUUCUGUUGACCGCGGAAGGGUGUUAGGCACCCCUUGAUCCCGUGGUUCGACCACGGUCGCUUGGUGGAGUAUAUCGACUAAUUUGACCACUAUGAAUGAAUAAACCACACCACACACAAAUAAAAUGAUCAAUCAAACAAACAAAUCUAAAACAAUGUCCAGUCCAAUUAUACAGUCCAAAAUAGAAAAAGAAUGCGAAAAUGUAAAUCUUAUCCUACCCUACACUAAUUUUAUACUAUGCUCCCAUGCUACCCGAUGCCUCGGGCCUUCAUCACGGACGUCCUCCAAAUACAAAAUACUUCGGGGCAUUCCCCAGCAAAUAAAUACAAGUGAUCGCAAGGCAUUCCUCAAUUAAAUAAAUACAUUUCCAAAUGCAAGAACAAAAACCAAACCGUUCAACUCAAAUUCCACAUUCAAACAUUCAACAAGAAAACUUAUUCCUAAAUUUUUUGCCUACCCGAACCAACAUUCGCCUAUCCAUUUCAAUAUAUCAUAAUUUUAUCACAUUCCAACAAUAUUCAUGCUCAUUACGAAUUAAACAAAACAACAAUAAAUCAAAGUUAAUCUAAAUUCAACUUUUUUAUCAAUUUCUCAAUUUCAUCCCACAAAAUUCAUUUUUAACCACAUUAUUAAACUAGUUCGACUAUCAAAUCACCUUUCGAAAUCUGAAACCAACAACACAUACCCCAAUGAAGAUUCAAACAUUUAAGCAUACCAAUCAUUCAUAUCCGCAAUAACAAUUAACAUUUUUGCUCGAAAUAUUCAAAACCACACCACAAAAUCACGAUAUUAACCAAUUUCGAUAUAAUAAAAAAGUAGAGUUGAGAGAUGGACCCUUGAAGAAUCGAUUUCGUUGAUAAUAAAAUCAAGAAAGCCCGGACUAUAGAAUUCCUUAUAGGACCUCAACAAUGACGAACUCCAACUCCGUAUUGAAAAACUUGAGACCCAAAACUGAAGCUCCGUAAAUUCAAUCGAACUCAAAAACCGACACUGUUCACGUACUAUUCAUGGUACUGUUCACAACACUGUUCACGACACUAUUCACAACACUGUUCACGGUACUAUUUCUCUCUCGAUAUUUUUUCUCUCGCUUGAUUCUCUCUUCUCUCCCUUGGUCUUUUUUGUUCUUCUUGUGAGGAAGAUGAUUUGGUGAUUAUUGUUAUUGUGGAGAAGAUGAUGAUGAAAGAAUGAGCCUCCCUUUUCCCCUUUUAGAAUUUUCCUUUUAUAUAUUUUUUAUUUGGUUUUUCUUUUUGUUUAUUUAUUAUCCAUGUGGAAGCAUAUAAUUGGUGUCUUGUGGGAAUAAGUGUGUGGCAUGUGGAAAAGUUAGUGUGACAUGUGAAAAGAUGAGGGUGGCGUGUGAAAAAAUGAGUAGGGCGUGUGCCUUUUGCAUGUAUCCAAUUAAAAAUGAAAAGUGAGGUGUUGAGGUGGCAUAGUGAGGUGACAAAGAUGCUUUGUGUUUAAUUAUUUUCAAUUCUUUUUUUUUUUUUGAGAAAUUAUCAAUUAAACAAAAGUAUGGUAAGGUGAAUAAAAUAAAAAUAAAAAUCAAAAUAAAUAAAAUUAAAUAAAAAUGAUUAUAAUAAUUUUGAGAAAGGAUAAAAUUACGUGUCUACAAUAUGUCAUGUGUCUUUCAUCUUCAGAAGAUCGUCAACUUAAAAGUUUAUCGGUUCAAAAACGGAGUUUGUAGAUAUAGCGCAUUAAACUACUGCAUUUGUACCUGUCCAUUAUUGCAGUAAAUCGGUUGCGAAGACUAAGGCUGGCAUGAGAGUAUAUUGAGUGAUCUAUCAAAAAGUUCAAUUUAAUAAAAUCGACAUAGGAGUCAUACUUUGUUCCCAUUAACGAAUAUCCAAAUUUUAAAUCAGAUUUAUAAAUAAAGAGAAAAUAUACCCAAUAUAACAUACGGGAGAGUCAUUUAACACAUUGUGAUAGUUAAAUCCAAAUAUGGUUUAAGAAAAAUAAAAAAAAAUCCAAGUAUGGUUUGAUGGACGCUAUUACUAUAUGUACAAAGUUGCUGAUGUUGCUUGAAGUUGAUUACAUACAUCACUAUUUUACUGUUUUUUUCAGAAAAUAUUUUAAACUUCAUUUUGAUAGUUGAUAAAUUGUUUGAACUUAUGUUUGAAGUUCUUGAAACUUCAUUUUGAUAGUUUAUAAGUUGUUUGAACUUGUGUUGAAAUUCUUGUAGAUUAAUAAUUAAUAUACAUAUUGUACCCAAAAAAUACACUUCUAUGAUUAAGCUUGUUGAAUUUAAUUGUUCAAGGGUAAGCAAAAUCAUACAAAACAAAUAAUAUGGAUUAUGCAUUUUAAGGUUUCGAACGGUAAAAAUGUGAUGUUAGAAUUAAAUUGAAUAAUAAAUGUACAAAAAUUUAUUUUGUAAUAGACUAAAAAUAAAAGUAUGUCAUAUCGAAGUUGAUGAAAAUGGUAUAUGGUUUUGCCAUAACAAUGUCAUAAGAAGAAUAUUUAAUUUGAUUCAUUUUUUCAUUUGUUUUAAUUUUUUUUUUUUAUCCUUUGUUUAUGGAUAUUUGAUUCAAUAAACUAAACUUCUAGCAUUAAAGUGUGUUCUAAUCAUUGAGAGACAAUUUAGGUAUGAAACUCAUAAUUUCAAUCAUGUUGGCAUCAAAAUAGAAAACUUAAAUAUUAUUAAUUAGGUAUAAUUUUUAUCCUUUUAACUCCUAUAAAAUUAAAAAUUAGAGGUACAAUCAAUAUAAUGUCAAUUUCAAAUAUGUCUUAUACAUACAUGGCAUAUUAGAUAUGAAAACAACGAUGGGCAAUUUCUUCAAGUUUAUGUCUUAUUCGUAGAGCUGAUAUUUUUCUUUAUUUGUUUCUUUCUUGUGAUGAGUACUAAUAGGAAAAAAGCAUAAUUUUUUUCUAACCAUAUUCAACUUCUUUCUCUUGUUUUUUGAUUAUUAAAGUGGAGGUUUUACGAUGUAUAUCUUCUUACAACACUCUUGAUAUGAAUGAUAAAUAUCUAAAUUACAUCUAUACAUUUUUGUAGACCGAGUUAUAAUCAUUUUUGAAAUUCCUCGGUAUUAAAUUCCCUUUGAGAAUCACUCAUUCAGUUCUUGUAUAAAGGACAGUAAGAAUUAUAUUGAUAUUUUAUUUUAGUCUACAUAAAAUUAUUUAUUUUUAUCACUCAACUCAAAUUAAUCUAACUUACUUCAACCCAAAUCCAACACGAACAUAACCAUUUUCACUUUCACUAGCUACACCAGAAAAGAUAUUUAAUGACAAUUAGUUAAUAAUAACAUUGUAAUUGUCGUUAAAUAUAUCUUUUAGAAAAAAAUAUUAGUAAAAAUUAGAUUAUAGCACUCUUUGUAAAUGUUCUAAAAUGAAUAGCGAUAUUGAAUUCAAUGCCAAUAAAAAUUGAAACAUUUUUUUUUAAAUAUAUGCAUUUAUUAUUGCUAAAAGUCUUUAUUAAUGUAUCGUGCAAAAUAGUGUCUUUACUCUUCUUUUUAUUUUUGUCACAAUGAUUUACUUUACUUUGUACUUGUCUGAAUUUGUAUUAGAGUAAAUACAUAAUUAUCUUUCUGAUCUUGUCCGAAUUUUAUAAAAAGACAUCUAAACUUUAACUUCAACCCAUUACCCCACGAAUCUUCUUUAUUCUGUUGCAAAUACACAAUUUUGACCCUCUGCGUGUAUACACGCGCCACAAACGCGUGAAAAGGCAAAAAUUGACUUUUUUGACCAAUUAAAAGCUGCCAAGUGUAAAUAAUUUAAUAUAUAAUUUAUAUUCUUUUUUUUAAAAUCAAUAUUUAUUUAUUUUUUAAAAUUAUNNNNNNNNNNNNNNNNNNNNNNNNNNNNNNNNNNNNNNNCAACAACAACAUCAAUUACAACAACAACAUCAAUUACAACAACAACAACAAUAUCAUCAUCACCAUAAUUUUAAAAAGAAAAUAUGAUGUACAAUCUCUAUUUUAAUGGAGCUUUAAACUCCAUUUUAAUGGAGGGAAUUGGACGGGAAUGGGGGAGGGAGGGGUUGGAAGGAGUGGGGGUGGGGAGGUGGGGUGGGGUCAUAAACAAAAAUGGAGCUUAAAGCUCCAUUAAAAUGGAGAUUGUACAGGAGCUUUAAGCUCCAUUUUAAUGGAGAAAACUAGAAGCGGGGGGAGGGGGAGCUGUUGGACUUGGGGUGGGGGAAGGGGGUGAUAAAUUAAAUAUAAAGGAAAAAAUUUAUUAAAAAAUAAAUAAAAUAUGAAAUUAAAAAUAUUUGACACGUGGCAUCACCUGAUUGGUGCGUGCAUUCACUCUCUUUUUUGUGACUGAGAUUCAGCGAAAAAUGAUGUAUUUGCAACGAAAUAAAGAAGAAUCGUGGGUUAAUAGGUCAAAAUUAAAGUUUAGGUGUCUUUUUACAAAAUUCGGACAAAAUCAGUGAGAUAAUUAUGUAUUUACUCUUUAUAUUAUGAAUACUUCUACUUAAUUCUUUAUCAUCGGACCCCUAUAUUCUCCAAAACAAAAAAAAUUUUAAACCCUUUUUACGAUUUAGGCCUCCUAUGUGGUAUAAACAACCAAGGAGCGGGUGCUAUAAAUAUUUUUGAAGCAUGAGACAUUAUAAAAAGGCUCAAUCAUCUUCUUUCCCAUUUACAUUUAACACCACUGUUGAAUAAUAUUAAGCUUUUUCUUACCUCUUUUUCGAUCGUCUCUCUUGAAAUUUCUUCUCCAUUAAUUUUUUUCUAGUCCUUACACAUUUCUUUUUUGUGCAUUUUCAUGUUAUUUUUUCCUUCAAUUUUAAUUUUGACAACUUUUUUUACUAUUGUGAACUUUAUGUCAUUGAAUACAAGCAUAGCACCUCUACAAAAACAUCUUACACUACACGAAACAAAGCAAAACCUUGGAAAUAUUUCAAUAAAAGCAAAUAUUAAUCAACAAUCUUAAAAUCAAAGAACGACACAAAUACUCAAACAAAAAGCAGCAACAAAACUUGACAGCAAAUAAUUAUGACUAUAAAUUGAAAACUUAAUUCGAUAGCUUGGAAAUCAAACAGAAACAAUAAGAAAACUCGAAUUAUUUAGUGAAAAUAAAAAAAAAUAGUAAAAAAAGAAAAGAAAAUGGGUGCCUACAUGAAUAACGGGUGAAUGAGAAGAUGUGAAGUUUUUAAAAUCUUUUAACUCUAUCCCGCGUCAUUUUGUACAUGUUAUUUUAGAAUUAUUUUUAAAAUUAUAUGUUAGCGUUAUGUUACACGCUCAAUUAAAUAGUCAAACUAAUUUAAAAAAUUACGUAACGAAAAAUUUAGAGAUUAAAAUGAUAAAGAAUUGAAUAAAAAUAUUCACAAUACAAACUCAAAUAAGUAUAAGUAUAUAUUUUUAAAAAUCAAACAACUAAAUAUGAUAUGUCAUGUGACCUUCAUUAUAAAAAAAAAGGCUUAAGUUAUAGACACGCACUUAAAGUUGUCCCGAAAAUUUAUUUGGACCCCUCAACAAUGGUAUGUACCUAUCAGGCACCUCAACUGCUAACACUAAUACCUAUCAAACACAAACAACUAAUUUGACAAGAAAAGUGUGUUACACUUUCGUUGAAUGCGUGAACAGUAGAAAAAAAAUACUAAUAUUUUAUUUUUUAAUUAAAAAAAUUAUAUUUAAAUUAUUUUAUUAAUCUAAUUUUUAAUUAUUUUAAUUUCUUAAUUUAAAAAUAAAAAGUCCAACCCCCAAUUCAUCUUGUCUUCACUCCCCCUCAUCGUCUUCUUCACAACACCCCCAAGUCAUCAUCGUCUUCACAUCUUUGUCCCCAUCAUCUUCAACCCCCCACCCUCCCCAUAGUCAUUGCUAACCCCCCNNNNNNNNNNNNNNAACCCCCCCCCCCUCCGCCGCCCCAUGCUGACAUCUUUUUUAUCCCAUUAUUGAUAUCAUUUUCUUCACACCCAUUUUUUGAUUUUAAAGCACUUUAAAAUUUAUAAUAUAACUAUUUCUAAACUUAGUCAUCUGAAAAUUUUAACAACUCAAUUGGUUGCUACUUGAAACUCACGCCUGUUGAUUAUGUUGAUUUUUCAUAUUGUAAUCUAUUCUCUAUAUUUAUAAGAGGAAGGGAAUGCCCUUCCACUACUUCCAAUUGAAAGAAAGGGUUUAACAUUCCUGGAAAUUACCCUCUCUUUCCUUUUGCUUAUUCCUUGUUUUAUACGAUAAUGCAGAAUAGCUACUUCUUCUUCUUCUUUGUCAGUAAUUUCUUGCAUAUUUAUCCAUGGCUUCUCAAUACAAAUCCACUCAAAAAUGGGAAUUUGAUACCUUCUUGAAUUUUGGAGGACAAGAUACCCGUUACAACUUUAUUAAACCUCUCCACAAAAAAUAGGAAACCAGUUUUUAAAAAAGGUUCAGCUUCUAUGGAAAAAAAAAAAGGGGAGGGGUGGGGGGGGGGGGAGAGGGCGAGGGGAGAGGUGUAAUUUACUUUUUUUUUUUUUAAUUCUAAAAUAAUUUAUUUUGGAGUUUAUUGUGGAGUAAUAUAUUUAAAAUAAUUUUUGAACCCACACGAUAUGUGUCAUUAUUUAAUUGAAUUUUUAAUUUAUACAGUAGUCUUUUUAAAAAAAAACGUUAGUCACGUAUUUUUUUUAUUGGUCAUUUUUGCCAUGUUAGGUAAGUGUGUUACACACGCUUUUUAAAAAAAAAAUUCGUUUGCCACGUAUUUUUUUUUAUUGGUCAUUUUUAUCAUAUCAUGCAAGUGUGUUACACACGCUUUAUAUCUUUUGUUGAUUGUUUAAAAAAGACUUAAUUGAAUCAAAAUUUGAGUGAAUUAAAAAUUUGAUAGGUACAUGUUUUAAUUAAGAAAUUUGAGUAAAUUUUUAAGAUAAUUUUAAGUGUUUAUUGAUGAUUUAAGCCUAAAAGAGAAUAUUGAGGAAUCAAACAUACAAUUUAAAGGGACAAUACAUUUGUUUUAUAGUUGACAUUAUUGUAUGUGAAAAUGACGGCGAUCGAUUUGAUCCCUCUAUUGUUUUAUUCAUAGAGCUAUAAUUUCUUUUUAUUUGUUCCUUUUCCAUAAUAAGUCAUAUUCAAACAAAAGUAGGGACAGCACCUUUGCCUGCAGCCAGUUAUUAGCUCAUUAAAAGAAUAAUCAAACAAAGGCUCAAAAAAAAAAAAAAAGAAUGUGAACUUGAUAUUAUUAGAGUCCGAAACUAAACUAUGCCAUCAAAUUAAAAAUUGCAUCAAAAUAUAUUAUAUAUUUAAAAUAAUACCAAACUAAAUAGUGAGUUAAGCAUAAUUUGAUACUUUUUAAAAUAUAUGGCAUACUAGAUAUAGAAAUUCAUAUCAGCACAAGUUUUAUAUAUUUUAUUUUUUUAUUUUAAUUUAAGUGGUUCAGAUAAAAUAUUAAAAUUAAAUUAAAUUUUUUUAUAAUUUUUAAAUAUUUUAAAUUAUUUAUAAUUGAUUUACAUUGUAGAAUUAUUAGAUAUUAUAUGUUACAUUUUUGUCUCAAUUUACGGAGCACUGAUGAAAUAUUUAAGAAAUUCAAUCAAAUUUGUUAAGUAUAUAGUUCUUUAGAUAUUGUACUUGUUAAUUAAUAUGAUAUUAAUAGAAUUUGAAAAGUCAAAAUAAUUUUUUAAAAUAUCCUUCAAAUAUUUUGAUUUAGUAUUAUUGUGAUUUAUAUUACUUUUUAUGUCAUUUUCAAAUAAUAUAUAACUUCCUUUACCUCAAUUUAUGUGUGCUGCUAGAAUCUCAAAUCAAUCAAAAAAAUUUAUGUGCUUUGAAAUAAUUUAAAUUGCUAAGUAUUAUAAUUUUAAAUAUUAUUAUAUAAUUUUUAAAUACAUAAAAUAUNNNNNNNNNNNNNNNNNNNNNNNNNNNNNNAUUAUAAAAUUUCUCUCGAUCAGAAGUCGACAGUUGAAAACAGAUAUGACAACUAUCAAUCGCUUGCUUACUCGCGUUUCUAUAGUAAAACUAGAUACAAAAGGCCCGUGGAAUAUUUUAAGUAUACGACAAAUAAAAUUUGGAGGCAACCAUAUAUUUUUUAUAUUCUUAAAUACUUUAAGUUAUACUUUAUUCAUAAUAUUCACAUAAUAUAUGUUAUAUAUUUUAUUUAAAUUUAUGUGGUGUAAAUAAAAUUUUGAAAGUCAAUAUAAAAUAUUUUAUAUUACGUACAUUAUAGAUAUUUUAAAUUGUUACUUAUUGCGAUUUAUAUUAUUUUGAACAUAAUUUUCACUUAGUAUAUAUUACUCUUUUUGUCUCAAUCCUUAUGGAUGUUUUGACGCGAUAAAUUCAAGGUCAAAUACAUCGACAAAUUCCUUAAUUUGGCAGGAUUUUUCACUUUGACACCUAAGGUGAAUAUUGUUAAUUUUAAGCACCCAAACCAACUACAAAGUGUGUCAUUUUGAUACUUUUUUGCAUCAACUCUAGCACGUGAAUUGUACUCGCUUUUAACAUGGAUUAAAUGACCAAUUAAUUUGUGUCACCUCAUUUUAAAUUGUCAUAUCAUUAUAUGCAUACAUAAUUAUUUUUUUAUAAAAAAAAAUAAAACACAUUACAAGGUGUCCAAUGAAUUAAUGACACGUGGCUUUUGACCACAAUAUUACAAAAGUACUUUGACUUCAUCUUCUUCACCCAACCAUUCUUCAAGCUUAACCUCCAUCAAUGAAAGUUGAAUUUUUCAAGAAUGAUAAACAUACCUCCUCAUUCUUUUACGGAUGAUAGAUCCUGACACUGACGCAUAGUUCAUUGAUUAAAAUGCACCAUAAGAGCAUAUUUUUUACUUAUAAACAUACGUACACCUGGCUCAUCAGACCUAUCCGGGCAGUCACAAAAAUCAUCAUUGAGCUGAGCUUUAGUGAAUUUCUUUGACCCAUCUUUGCAUUUUGUAGCACCAGAUGUUAAACCCUCGUAAUAAUUCUCAACUGCAAUCAACAACAAAUCUUGAUGACUAUUUUCACUUAACAUCAACAAAAUCAUCAAAAACAGCUAAAUUAACAAUUAUUUCUACAGAAAAAAUUUCAUAUCACAAAAUGGGGUCAGCUGCACUUCCAUCAACAAAACUAAUCAUUAUCUCAACAGAAAAUUUGAAAAUUUCGCCCAUUUCCAUCAAAACAGCAAAAUUAACAACUAUUUCUAUAGAAAAGUAAAAGCUUUUUCUAUCCAAAUUUCAUUCACCUUGCGACUAGGAAUUAAAUUCCUUUAAAUUGUAUCUGAUUAAAUAUGUAGAUCGAUUCAUAACCUUUCAAGCACAAUCAUUUAAAAAUCACGAAACGAUUCAUCAAAAAAUAGCAAAUUUAGCAAUUAUUUAUUAAAUAUCAGCUCCAUUUGCAUCAAAAACAGCUCAAUUAACAAUCAUUUAUACUAAAAGAAUCUGAAAUCAAGAAAUGGGUCAUUAAUAGCUUCCCGAACUUCUUUAAACAUGCUCUUAUGAUGAAAAAAUGGUGAAAUAUGGUGGGAUGAAAAAAUAGGAAAGAAGGUGAUAAAAUUAAAUGAAAAAUGGGCUAAAAUAAAGUUGCCAUGCGUCAAAAAACGAGUGUUAUACACCCACUUUACUGAAUCAACAAAAAGUGUCAAAGUGACACAGUUUAUGGCUACUUUAGGUGCUUAAAAUGAACAACGCCCAUCUUAGUUGUCAAAGUGAAAGAACGUGCUAAGUUAAGGGACCUGUCAAUGUGUUUAGCCUAAAUUCAAGGUGAGGUGCCCUACUAUUUUCUUUUUUCGGAUGAUGUAGUUUUGAUUGAUAUGAUGAGGCACAUGGUGGAGUUAAUGCUAAAUUGAAGGUUUGGAGGUAAAUUUUUGAAUCUAAAAAAUUUAGAUUGAGUAGGUCCAAAACAGAAUAUUUGAUUGUAUUACUUGAUGAACUUAUAUAUGGUAUUAUUAAGUGUGUCGAUUUCUAUUAUAUCUUGUUAUUUUUUAUCUAGAUUGUUUAUCUUGAAUAGGGGAACUAUUGAAAAUAAUAUUUUUAUCUCAUCAUUGAUAUAAUAAUAUGAAUUGCAUCUACUUAUUCUUUUAGAUCCCACUUGAUAAGAAUAUAGUGAGUAUGUUAUUGUUGUAUGAAUCGUGAAAGUGAACCACAAAAAGAGAAAAAGAUGAUCACCCAAAAUGUAAAAGUGGGUUCCACAUAUAUUAAAGAAUUAAAAUAAUGAAAAAAUGUACUGUGAUAAACUAAAUUUAGGCCGGACAUUUUGUCUAAUAUCGAAAAUGUACACAUGCCUAAAAAAUUUAGAUGCAACAACGUGAACAUCCAAAAAUAAAACAUACCUAAAAUACCCCUAAAAGCACUCAUAAUUUCAUAAAGCACACAUGACAAUCAUAAGUUCUGUGCUUGCUCACAAUUCUAGUAGAUAGUAAUAAUAUGUUGGAUUACUUCAUUUUAUUUUACUUCCACAAGUAAGUCCAUAACAUAAAUUUUGAGAAACAAGAAAAUAUAAUAUGAUACUAUAUGAAGUAUUUUAAAAACAUUCAUAAUGCCUCAUCCGUUGUAUUUUAGUUGGCCGUUUUAUAAUUUCUUAAAUAUUGUGUAAAAUAAAAAGUGAUCGAUUAAAAUGGAAUGAAAAACCCGAUAACGUCAUUUUAACAUUCACAUCAACAAAUCAAUCAUGCCAAAAUAAGAGGAGGAUUUCCAGGUGGGAUCGUUGGCAAACUGCUUUCAAAACUUUAAUAGCAUUCAUCCUUUUGGGUUGGAUUUUCAUUUUAUUGUCUUGCCUCAUCCUUGAGGUUUUGAGCACGUCCACCAAUAUAUGUGGAUGCAAAAUGGAUAACUGUGUAUUCUAAUAAGCAUGGAUUUCCCAUAUUAAUUAAAAGAGAAAACGGUCAAAAGCCCCCCAACCUAUAUCCCAAAUUUCAACUACACAUUUAUACUUUGCGAGGGUCCUAUGAUCCCCUGAACUAUUUUAAAAUGAAAUUAUUACCCCUCCGAAUUAUUUUAAAGUGGAAUAUAUACCCGUCUAAAAGCUCAUACCCAGAUUUUAUUUUAAUUUGUGGUCUACAUGCGCUGCCACGUGUCAUGCCACGUAAUUCCACGGUAUAUUACUUUUUUUACUAUAAAAAAUUAAUUACUUGUCCUUUUCUCUUCUUCUUCCCGACCUAUUUGACUCUCUGGCCGUAGUUAUUUAGGUGGUAUUCCGAGAUCGAAUUCCUCCCGGGAACACACAAAACAAAGAUAUGAACUGGGUAAAUAGAAAUGGAAAAGAGAUGUUCUAUUUCAUCCAAAUUAGUUGCUUUUUCUACUAUUAGAAGUUUAGAACACAAGCCAAGAAACUCAAAACCACAACACAAGCUUCUUCUUUUUCUUCUUCAAUGGCAUAAUAAAUCAUAUGAAAUUCACACGAUAGGUAAUCUUAUCAAAAUCAAAUCAAUAAUUAAUGUCCAAAAAAAAUUCAAUUUUCACAAAAUGACGUCAAUUAAUUUUCAUAAAAUAGUCACUAUUUAUUUGUAAUUAGAACAAAAUUCUUAUUUGGACUUACUUAGUCUUUACAUAUACUCCAUGUCAUGUUGCUAAUUACCUGUUUCAAGUAAAUAAUUAAUUAAGUCGCAGGGCCAAAUUCAUCCAUAAAUCAAUUUCCAGUUAUCAAGAGAAUUAUUUUAAUAGAAAAUGGAUGGACAAACAUUUAAGCACAAACUUUUUCCUUUUGCUCUUAUCAUGGGAUUCUCAAGAUCCAACAUAUAUACUAAACCUUGUAUGUCAGUUUCCUUAAUGUUUUCACAGCCCGAAUUUAUUUUUUUCGAUGAAUUUCAGCAUUCUCAACGUCAAUCAAUUUUUGGGAAUCUAAGAAAUGAUUCUAACUAAGAAAUUAAUUCAAAAUUUUCAAUCUGAAUUGAUUUAACAUUCUCAACGUCAAUCUGAACUGGUUCUAUGAAGUCGGAACAAGUCGAUUUUAUGCUUUGAGAUGAGGAAGAUGAUAAAUUAGUCUUGAAUGUCAUUGAUGAGUUUUGGAUGCCAUUGAAGAAGAAAUGUCAUUGAUGGGUUCUUGGAUUCCACUAAAGAAGAAGAAGAAGAAGAAUUGAAGAAUAAGAAAUGAAGAAGAAGAAUUGAAGAAGAAGAAUUGAAGAAGAAGAAAGAAAAAUAAUAAUUGACAUUGAUGGGUUCUUGGAUGCCAUUGAAGAAGAAGAAGAACAAGAAUUGAAGAAGAAAAAUGAAGAAGAAGAAGAAGAAGAAAGAAAAAUAAUAAUUAAAAUUAUAUAUAUUUAUUUAAAGAAAUAUUAAAAAUAAUUUUUUAAUAAAUUAUUUUCGUUCUCACUCUCUUGCCAUGUCAGCGUUUGGGGGUAAUAAUUUCAUUUUAAAAUAGUUUAGGGAGGUUAUAGGACCCCCGCAAAAUAUAAAUGUGUAGUUGGGAUUUGGGCUAAAGAUUGGGGGGCUUUUGACCAUUUUCUUUAAUUAAAAUACCCCCUCCGUCCCAUUUUAUGUGUCGCCAUUUGACCGGGCGCGGAGUUUAAGAAAUAAGGAAAGAUUUGGUAAAAUUUACCAAAUUAUCCUUUAUAAAAAAAAAUGUCAAUAUAUUUUUUUUAAUUAAGUGGGACCAAUAAAGAUAAAAGGGUAAUUAUAUCUUCAAAAAGUUGCCAAAUAAGGAAAGACGACACUUAUUUUGGGACGAAUUAAAAAAAAAAUAAUGACACAUAAUUUGAUUACCUCUUACCAGAUUUAUUAACGUGGAGUCAUGUGAAAACUACGUAAUUAAAAUUUCUCCUUUCCUCCUAUAUUUUUAACAUACAGUGAAGUGUCACUACAUAAUAAUGAGAAAAUGUGACAUAAAAUGUGAAGCAAAGUAAUGAUUUUCUAUCUAUCUAUCUAUCUAUCUAUCUAUCUAUCUAUAUAUAUAUAUAAAAGUGUGAACACCCCUUAGAAAAGUGAUUUAAACUUUUUGCCCUUAAUUAAAAGAUUUCACAAUAGACAAAAUCGUCUUUUUACUAAAUUUCUUCAAUUAUUAUAUCAUAGUCUUUAUAUUAUUUAUUAUUAGCCAUAAUAAAUAUGUAAGAUUCACUUUUAGAUUAGAAUUCAAUAUCAAUUAAAAUAGUAUUACACGUCGUAUUUUCUUUAUUUAGAUUUAUUAUCCACUUUAGGUUAGGAUAUUCUACCAAAGUUAUCACUUUAGGUUAACUAGGACAAUAUAUAUUCUACACAAAUUUUUGUGGACUACAAAGAAAAAAAAAUUAGGUUGAGACGUUUAGGUUUCACAAUUUAAUGCCACUUUUAGUUUUAAUUUUUCUUUACUAAUUAAUUUUACUAUUACGUUAGUUUGAUUAAAAAAUUAUGUUAUAUUUUCUUUGUAUUGGUUGAUAGGAUUUGCAUGUAAUUAUUUUUGUAUGAAGGUUAGGUUUAAUUGUAUUGUUCUAACAUCUUGAUAAUUGUGUUGUUGUAGUUUCUAUCUCGUUACUAUAUGCUAUUUUUUAAAAUUAAUACAAGUGGUCAAUGAAUGUUCGAUCAGACUUUGAGUAAUUUUUGUAUAAAUUUAAGGUUUAGUUGUAUCGUUCUGACGUCUCGAUUAUCGUAUUGUUUUGUUGUUGUUUCUGUUCUAUUGAUAUCUGCCAUUUUUUCUGCUUAAUACAGGUGAUAGAUGAAUGUUUCAUCGGGCUUUGAGAAAUUAUGUGUAAAGGUUAGGUUAAAUCAUAUUGUUCUAAUAUUCGAUUACCGUAUUGUUAUUAUGUAUUUUCUGAUUUCUCGAUUAUCGUAUUGUGUUGUUGUAGUUUCUGUUUUGUUGCUAUUUGCCAUUUUUUCUGCUAAAUACAGGUGAUAGAUUAAUGUUUGAUCGGGCUUUGAGAAAUUAUGUGUAAAGAUUAGGUUAAAUCUUAUUGUUCUAAUAUUCUAUUAUCAUAUUGUUUGUUGUAUAGUUUUUAUUUGCUAUUUUUUUUUUAGUACUUCAAGUGAGAAAUGAAUGUUUGGUUGAGCUUUGAAGAAUUUUUAUGUAAAGAUUAAGUUUAAUCUUAUUGUUCUAAUAUCUUGAUUAUCUAUCCCAUUUUUAUUUUCUAUUUUUCUGCUUAAUACAUAUGGUAGAUGAAUGUUCGAAUGAGCUUUAAAAAAAAUGUGUAAAAGUUAGAUUUAAUCAUAAUUGAACAACAUAUUUAGAUGUAUUUUUAAUUUUCACUCUUAACAAAAAUAUUGUGAAAAAAAUUUCAUCAAAGAUGACUGGUUCAGUGUAUUGCCAACAAAUCGAUAAAGAGGACAAAAUAUUACACAUCUAAAAAUUGUUAGUAGCCAUUAGAUUAGGAGAGUCUAAAUCAGAAUUUUGAGGACGAGAGAAGAGUGCAUUUGGAUUAUUAGUAACAACAAAAGUAAGCUUACUUAGAACUGAGUCGUUGCGGUUUAUAGGAGGCAUAAGAAUAUUUGUUUUGUUAGGGAUAUUAACUGCACAACGAAUCUUAAACUAAGAUAUUUCAGAGGCAUCGAUAAAGAUGACAUGUAACUGAGGACAGUGAGGACGUUAUGGGCAAACUUAAGGAAAGUGGUCAUAAUUUUCUCCAUAGUUGAAUUUUGAUUCUUCUACGGAAGCUUGAAAGGAAGAGUGAACGGUUGAACACUAAAAAGUAUGUGGAAUUUGAAUAGUGUGACUUAAUUUGGAACGAAUGAGAGAUCUGACCAGUCCAUAUUAUUAUAUAUGAAUGAACAAUAUCUAAAUAGUUAACAAAAGAUUGAAACAACAAUAAAAUUUGAAUAUAAAUUCACCAAAUCUUGGACCUCUUCAUUCCAAAAGAGGUGCAAUACUAUUGUUAUUGUUUGAGAACUAUCUAUUCCUUUUUACUCAAAACAAGAAUCUUUUAAAACAUUACAAUUUAUAUUACUUUUAUUAAAAUUUAAAUAUCUAAGUAGAACAAGAAAAUCAAUACACGAUAUAAAAUCAGAUAGAGUACUUUAGAGUUUAGACAUUGUAUUCCUCUUUAGUGAUAAAUUCCUAUAUGACUCUCAAUAAUUUUAAUAAUAUCCUAUUUACUAGAACAAAUCCACCAACAAAUUCUUUAAAAUUAAUAGUGAUAGGAGUCACAAAGAUAAUUUAAGUGGAUGAUGAUGAUGAUAAAAGAUUCAAAGGAAAGAUGAUAAUGACCUAUUCUAUUCACUUUCACGAGUAAUAUUGCAGAAGUUAAAACUCUACAAUUUGAGGUUCAAUGAUAUAUAACAUAUCCAAGGCUUAUCUCUUUCUCUUUUUCUUCUUUGCUUAAAUAAGAAAAAAGUUGACUUUGCAAUGUUAGUUGCAGUAUGAAGUUUGUCAUGUCUCCAUGAUAAGUUACAUAAAAAUUAGGGAUGAGAUAAUAUAUAAAUAUGACUCUAAAUUUGACACCAAAUUAUAAUUUUGACCUUAAACUUUGAUAGUACACAAAUAGGACCUUUAACUAUUCAGAACCUGAACGAAUAUGACCUCCGAUUUUGCAACCUUCAUGCGUGAGUUUCACUCGCGCCUAUGUGGAAAAGUAAUCCAAUCACACUAUGUCACAUCGUUAAAAGGGCUGACUUGGAGGGAGAUCAUAUUUGUGCAAUUUUGAAUAGUUAAAGGUCAUAUUUGUGCACUGUCAAAGUUUUAUUUUUUGUGUUAAAACAACGUCGUUUUUAUUAUUAUUAUUAUUAUUAUUAUUAUUAUUAUUAUUAUUAUUAUUAUUAUUAUUAUUUAUUUAUUUAUUUAUUUAGGGAUCGAACCCACGCAGUAGGCUGAAGGAAGCACCCAAGAAGAGCAAACAACACCACUGGGCUAUCUAAGUGUCUUGUUUCAUGUGGUUCAACAUUAAUAUACGUACAUAAAUAUAGAUUUUCUACCUUAUAUAUACAAUGUCAUUUUUUUACCGAGGGGCUUCGGGUGAACCCCAUGACAACCACUUAGGUCCGCCCCUGCGUUAAUUUAAUAACAUUUUAAUAACGUUAAUUUGAUAACAUUAAUUUAAUAUACUACUACUAGUAUCCUUAAUAAUGUUAAUUUAAUAACGUUUUAUUAAAACUAUAGUUUUUUUUUAUUAUUAGUAUAGUUUCAUCUUUAAUUUAAUAGUUAAAUAAAUUAUAUUUAGAUAUAUUAUAUAACUUAAAUUCACCUUUUGCUUUAUAAUAUAUAUACAUACCUGUGCGAUUUUUUCGUAUGAGGUUGACCCACCUGUUUAAUAAAUCUUCAAUAUUGCUCUUUUUCUGCAAUGACAAAAGAAAUUAGAUGUCAUUUUAAUCUUUGAGCCGAAAAUAAUGAAUAAAUAAUAGUGAAAAGUCAUUUAAAGGUUAUAUUUGUGCAGUUUUGAAUAGUUAAAGGUUAUAUUUGUGCACUGUCAAAGUUUAAGGUCAAAGUUAUAAUUUGGUGUCAAGUUUAGGGUCAUAUUUAUGUAUUAUGCCCUUAGAUUUUAAGCUGGACGUGCCCAGUUUUGCGUGUUGAAUACGCAUUUUACCACGUAGGAUCGGAGGUCAUAUUUGUGCAGUUUUGAAUAGUUAAAGGUCAUAUUUGUGCACUGUCAAAGUUUAAGGUCAAAGUUAUAAUUUGGUGUCAAGUUUAGGGUUAUAUUAUGUAUUAUCUCAUCAGGGAUUGUAUCUCACCCUUAUAAAUAGGUAUCGUGCAUUUUUAUCAUUAAUUUAAUAUUGGUAAUUCUUCUUUUAUUUUCCAUCGUUAUCAUUGUCGUCGCCUUUUGAAACUCUUCUAAGUAGACAGUUGCCAAAAGUAAAAAAGAGUUACUGAUUUAAAAAAGAUAAUUAUUGUUUUGGAUAACUAAGAAACAUAAUUAAAAAAAAUAAAAAAUGGAGGUGAAUGUGAGAGAAAGCCUCAAAAAUCCUAUUGUUCUCCUUACACAAAGUUGUAUAAAUAUUUAUUUUGAUCUUCUAUGGGUAGUAUAGGUAGAAUAAGAACAUAGAGAGGCCAACUUAAAUAUCAUAGACUGCUCAGAUUUUCACAAUCUUGAAAAAUAUUAGUUUCAAAAAAAUUUCAUACUCUUAUAAUGUAAAAAUGUUUUCAGAUUUCAUUUGUGUUAUCAUAUGUUUUUAGUAACUCGGAAAAGGAAAGACUAAAGUUUGUAAUAAUGAGACGAGUAAAUAUAGUUGUAAGAGGCGAGCGGGUGAUAACUUAAUAGUGAUUGUUAAUUGAAAAAUGGAAUUUGAGAUUGUAUGUAUCCUUAAAAUUUGAAUUUUUUUUUGUCUUAGUUCAUUUUUCGGUUGUAUGACCACAUAGGAACAAACAUCCACAUAAUCAAUAGUCUCACUGGUUCAAUUUAGUUUUGAUUUCAUUUCUUUUGAGUCGAGAAUCUAUUAAAAACAGUCUAUGAUUGUGUAGUCAUAUGAGAUCAUUGCUUCCACAAGCAUUAAUAAUUUCACUGGUUCAAUUCUGCUUUGAUUUUAUUUCUUUUGAGCUGAAGAUCUAUCAAAAAUAGUCUCUUUACCUCACAGAGAUAGGCGCCUCACAAAAGAAAGGGUAAGCUCUGUACAUUCUACCCUCUACUUGCGGGAAAAAUGUCUUUUUACAUCAUAGAGAUAGGGGUUUCACAAAAGAAAUGAUAAGAUCUACGUAUAUUUUAUCCUCUACUUAUACGAUUACACUAGAUAUCUUAUUGUCGUUGUGUUAUUACUUUUAAAUUAUUUUAUUUUUCUUGCAUGGAGUAUAAUUUUACUUAUUAACACGACAUACACGUGCAAAGCACGUAUACUAAACUAGUAACAAAAAAUAGGUGAGGGAAAAAAAAUAGUAAUGCUAGUGAAGGUAGGUAUCCUAGUUUAUUUUUAUGUGAUCCUAGAUUUAAGAAGCAAAAUUUAUUAAUGGAGUACGCAGGUUUCUUAGAUUUUCUUAGUGGUCCUAUGAAGCGUGCAUUACGAAGACGGGCGGGCGGUUCAGUUUUUUCGUUUGGUUUUUCGGAAUUUUGAUCCUAUUUUUCGGUUUUCUUUUAUGAAAGGGAUAGCAAAAUUGAACCGAAUUAGUUAUCCAGUACGGUUCAGUUCAGUUUGAUUUUUUUUAUUAUGAAUCUACUGGUUGGAAUAUCACUGGAAAUUGGUUGGAAUCGUGCUGGACACAAAAAAAAAAAAAAAAAUUGAUUCAAAAUGGACUACUAUAUAACAGCAAACAGCCAUCAGGAGUCUAGAACAACACUUACACUGAAAAAAAAUUGAACACAAGUAGAAAAAAGAGAAAACUAGCUUAUACUGAUGUGACUAGAAGAGUGAUUCAAAACGUCAUUAAGAUUAUUAUUAUGAAGUGAUAAGUACUUCUAUGUUUUUAAUCAAAGAUUUUUGAUUUGAGCUUUGAGAAUUCACCUUUGGUAGAAAUUGUUUUACUCUCAUAGUAAGACUUUCCGACACAAACUCACAUUAGUCUAACUCAAAUACAAACACGAACCCCACAUAAAAAAAACAAAAGAACGACAUUAUUCAAAACAUGAUUAAAAGGACCACAUUGAGUGAUGUUUGAUUGGAUGGCUAAACUUGUCCUUAUUGCCUGUGUCAACUUUUAAGGUUCUAUAUUCGAACCUCAGGCCUCAGCCACUCAACGGUAUAGUACUCUCUCUAUGUUCCAAUUUAUUUUUUUAGUUCUAAUUUAGUAUUGACUAUAAAAAAAAAAGUUAAAUUUUGUGGUUUUAAAUUAAAAAUAUGUAGAAUAUAUCAAAAUAUUUUUAAAAUUAUGUAAUUUUAAACAUGUCACAUGAAAAAUAGAACUAGCUAUAAGUUACCCAAAGAAAAAAGAAUUCUCACGCAUAUAAAAUAAAUCAAAUUAUCCAGGAUAAUCCCUUAACAAAUGGAUCUAGCCAGCUUAGCUUGUUGGAUAAUAUGCACAUACCUUAAUUUAUUAAUACUGUUCAAGUAGAACUUUUAGUAGUGAUUUUUAUCCUUUGAAGCCAUACAAUACAUGCACUAAGAUAUUGUCCUUUCUUUAUCGAAACGAAGAUAUAUAGCAUAAUUUAUAGUAAUAUAUAUCCAGGUGAAUUACAGCCAAAUUUUAAACUAAAGUUACCCAAGUAUAUAUUUAGAGUACAUCUAUAGCGAGUGAUGCUGCUUUUUAUACCAAUAUAUAGCUAUCAAAGUUCUCCAUGAGAUUGAGAGUAAUAACAAAACAAAAUUAGUAUCUACGAAGCGGACUCACUAUUGUUGAGGCGUAAGCGUAUUCCCUUGAAAAUUUUCCUAUAUAUACAUCGUCAUCAUGAUACACCUCUUAUAACAAUCCACAAAAUGAGAGAGAUUAUAAUUAGCCUUUUAUCUCUGGCUUUGUUCCUCCUUAAGGUCUCAGCCAAGCUAUCUGAUGUUCCCUUUUAUUUACCAGCCAAUGAAACCCUUGGCCUUAAACUAAUAAGGGAACGUAAUACGUCAGACCUAGCCCAGUCAUUAUUAGCACAGAGUCGAUGCGGAUGGCCAGGUGGCGGUAGAUCGUGUCCUACUGGACAGUGUUGUGAUUUUGAUGGUUGGUGUGGAACCGGUGAUGCCUAUUGUGAUGAAGAUGAGUGUGAUUUCCAGUGUCCAGGUCCGAUCCCAGUGGGACGAUGCGGAAUGCAAGCAGGUGGUCGACCAUGUCCUACUGGACAGUGUUGUCGGGAUUCAGGUUGGUGUGGAACCACAGAAGAAUAUUGUAAUCCUCUACGCUGUCAAAGCCAAUGUUCAGGACCUUAUCCAUCGGGACGUUGUGGAUGGCAAGCUGGUGGGAGGAAAUGUCCUACUGGAUUAUGUUGUAGUCUCUCUGGUUGGUGUGGAACCACUUCAAUCUAUUGUUCUCGUGAAGAAUGUCAAAGUCAGUGAGAAAGGCCACCACCACCCCCGUCUCCACCACCCCCACCCCCACCAUUCCCACAGGGACGAUGCGGAAAGCAAGCUGCUGGUAGAGCAUGUCCUACUGGAGUGUGCUGUAGUAUAUGGGGCUGGUGUGGAACCACACGUAACUACUGUGUUUCUCCCUACUGUCAAAGUCAGUGCAAGGGCGGUCUAACCUCGUACAACAAGAAUCGCUUCAGAGGCAUUGAAAGCUUAUUGCUCAAUGCUCUCUAGAUGCUUGCUGCCUUCUGUAUUCCCUAGACCAUGUACUUCUACUCCUCUUUUGGGACUGGA